UUGUACCGACCUUACUAGGUCGUGGGGUGAUAUUACUUUUCUUUUAUAUCUCUCCCCUAAUGUUAUUAUUCUUAUGAUUUAUUUCUUGUAAUUCAUUUACUUUCACACCUCCAACAUUUAUGCCAUUUACACUAAGUAGCCUAUUAAUUAUAUAUUUUGGGCUAUGAUUUGGAUUAUCUACUGGUAACAUAAAGUAGGUGCCAUCAUGACUUGGGAAUUUGGGUUGUGACAGUAGACGGUCAGUUACGUUAAAAUAUAUGUACACAAAUUUUGAAAGAUUCAUUGCUGUAGUCAAUAAAUAUUUUUAUUCUUGUAUUUUAUCUUUAUUUCAAAAGUUAGUCUGUGACUUUAGUUUUCCAUCAGUACUGUGCAUGUAAUUUUUUUGUUAUGCUAGGCUAGAGUAUGGUCACAUCCAGGGUAUAGACUUAGGUCGCGACAUUACAUUAUUACACUUUGAGGAUACGAAGGUAGUUUUCGAGCAUGCGAGUAUAUAAUUUACAUCAAAACUAGAUAUAUAUAUGUGUGUGUGUGUGUGUAUAAAGAUAUAGAUAUAUACGGAUAUAUAUACAUAUAUAUGUAUUUACAUACAUACAUAUGUAUCAUGUCAGCUUGCUAAUAUAAAAGAAAUUAUCACAGUCCGAGUCUACACCAAAAAUUAGGCACAAUGCUAAGAACCACAAGUUAUCUCAAGCGAACCCUUGGUACUGGAAUAUUACUAAAAAUAAUAUUAAAAUAUUAAUUUGAAACAUAAAAGAUAACUGAAAUGGGUAACCUAAAAAUAAAUUGAAAUUUUUGAAAUGAUAAUUCCUACUAUGUCUGAAAGCCUCUACUAAAUUAAUGAAUUACUAGGACAGGACCCCUACUAACUCUAAACAACUUAAAUAAAGUCUAAAAAGAAACAAUUGGAAUUUCAAGAUGUCUCCUAAAUGAUGAGGACUCACCAAAUCAAAUACUGGAAACUAGGAUCCAUAAUAACCACUUGUGAGAGUGACUACACGAACUAUAUCAUAAUAGGAUAUAGAGCAACAAAAAGGUAUGCGGUCAGUACUAUAGGGUAUACUAAGUAUGUGAGAUAUGGUAAUCACGUAUAAAAUAGAGAGAUAAAGUAGUACAUUUAAAAUCAUAGUGUAAUAAGUAAAUUAGGUAUCAUGUUGUACAACUGGUCAUCGUUGCACUAUUGAAACAUAAAUUAACCUGCAACCAUAGAUAUACCCCUAAAAAGAGAUAUAAUAAGUGUAGUAUAAAUACAAAACAAGCAUACUGGUAGGCAUGAUCAGCUGACCAGGGUCAGAAAACAUAUUACAAUAUGUAGAAAUCAAGAAGAGAUCAUGACAAUAUAUACUUAGAAACUUAUCAUACUUAACCUGCUAUGACUUCCAACCUCACCACCUUUUAUUUAAUAGCAUAAUUACUUUAUCCUCAUAGCAUGACUAAAGGACAUAAUUCCAUGUAACAACCAAACCCAUAUCUCUUAUGAACUCCUUUAUCAUAAAUAACUCUAUACUUUUCUCUCUCUCUCUCUUUAAUACUCUAUUGUUACAACCCUCGCUACCUAUUAUGCUACCAUUGACCAUCAAAAUUGUAACAACCAAGAUAAUUAAUAAGACAAAAAAAUUUCAAAAAGAUACACUAUAAUACAUAUCAUGUAUGUAACUAUAUACAUAGGAGAAUAAGAUUAUACACAAUUUAGGGCAUACCUUAUAUUCACACUUUGCUGCAAUGUACAAUCACAACCAUCAAUUACUAACCACCGAUUAUCCUUUUUUGUACAUUUCAUUAAAAGUUAUUCAUAUCAAAUCACUCAAUAGAGUCCUUUUCCUUGGAUGAUUAUUAUUUUCAAAUAAGAUUUUAUUUUCACCUUUUUUAAUUUUUGAUGGAUUUUUAGGGUUUUGCCAGUAAAGCUUGAAAAUGAUUUUUCUUUGAUAUGGACUUUAUUUUAAACUCAUUUUAAUGUGGUUUUAUCUAAUAGAAUUCUUUAACCUUACAAAAUGUAUUUUAAAAAAAUAGUUUUGCCCCUUUUAUUUUCGAACUCGUCUUUAGAAUCUAUCUUGGACUCAGUAUAAAUAUAGGCAAUAUGGGUAUCAUUAGUAUUUUUAUUAUGUAGAUGCUAUAUUUUAAUAUUAUAGUUUAUUCUGAGGUUGUUCUUGAGGGAAAGCUCCAAGUUGAAAUACUUUAGACUAGGAUUUUAUCGUUUUGAGGUAGGUUAUGGCUUAACUUCUUUCAGAUGAGUAGGAUAGAUAUAAAUAAGUAAAACAUGCUAUGGGUUAAGGAAAAAAUAUGCAAUUUAUAUUUUGAGAUUACUUUUACUAUUGUGUGCAUGUGUAGAGCUUAUAUUCUAUUAUGGUUGAUUUGUGAUAAAUGAUAUUUUGUAUAGCUCAUAUAGAGGCUUUAUUUGCCAUUAUUGGCCUUAUCUGUGCAGCUAAAUGCCUUUAUUAUAGAUAUGAUACCCAUGCAGGGGAUUUUUUGCUAAUAUAGGCCUUGUUUGAGCAUUGAUUUCCUAUAUCAUGAUAAAAUACCCAAGUAAGGGGUUGAUAUGAUAUUAAUGAUGCCUUACAUGUAUAUUUAUUCUGGUGGUGCGUAAUUGAAGUUGAUGAAUCAUGAAUUGUGGACAUAUUGAGUUAAUUUUUGGUCUCACUUAUAUAAAUAUAUCCAUGUUGGAUCAAUAGGAUAUUAUCAUAUUGAUUUGAUUGUGAGCAUUACAUCCUUAUUUUUUACAUAUACAUUCAUGAGAUAUUAGUACUACUGAGAAAUACAUUUUUGAAAGAAAAUAAGACACUUUUAUGAAAACUCUCUCUAUGAACACGAGUCGGAGAGGUGAGAAGAGUUGAGAUUUAAAUUAAGAUAUAGUAUAUGGGUUUCAAAUCCCCCUAAAGUCCUACUUGGUAGGUGCAAGCUCGAUGGGUGCAUACAGAAAGUAAUGUGAUGACUUAAUCAUUUAUCACAUCUACAUUACAUUACAUUGUAUCGCACAUAUAUUUUGUUUGAUUUUCCCAGUUUUAUUGUCUUGUAAUUAGGUUCAGUGUAUUUUUAUAUAUGUGUGUAUGUGUGUAUGUGUUGUUCAGUUUCUGUGUGUAUAUAUAUAUGUGUGCGUGUCUUUGUGUAUUUGUGUUGAGCUAUCAUUUGGGACUUUUCUACUUGCAGGUGAUGUGCUCAUAGUAAUUUUACUUGCCUUAUUUCCUACUUUGCUUAUUCAGUCUAUGAUACCUACUAAGCCUAAGUGGACCGUACUCACCUUUAUUGUCCCUUCCGAUAUAGAUUUGAUUAUGAGUACAAGUUGUGGUAGCUGACUUCGUAUAGAUUUGGAGUAGUGUUUGAGGUACUAGGUGCUCUAUGAAUUUCAGGGUUAACUCCAGGCCACUUCCUAUUUUAAUCUGUAUUUAUUUUGGUUUCAGUGACAUAUUUGUAUUUUCAAAUUUGGUUAUAUACUAUACACUUUUAUAUUAUGACACUAGAUUUCGCAAAUUAUGAGAUUUCUUUCAACCAUCUACUUUAAUUAUUUUUACAUAUUGGCUUGAAUGCAUUCUAGAAGUCUUGGUUUUGUUAUGUUGUUAUUGAUUUUAUUUUUUCUUUGUCAAUUUGGGUGAUUGGCUUACUUAUCAACGCUGAGCCACGAUAGGUGCCUUCACGACCCUUUUUGGGUCAUGACAUGCCAACUAGCAUACUUUUUAUAAACUUUUAAGGUUACUAUUGUAAUGACCCUCUAAGUCAUUUUCUAUAUUUCUUCUCAUUUUGUGGUUUAGAGCUUUCUUAUAGCUGCCCCAAGUCAUUUAUGUCUUUUUGGAGCUAACAGUUUAAUUUUUGGGUAGUUCAUUUGGUUUUUAGAGCUAAUUUCCUACUUUAGGUCUUCCCUUAUUAAAAUUGGCUAUUGAUAAAAAUCUUUACUCGAAUGACCAUAUAUGAUAAUUAUUACAGUUCUAAUAGCUCCAGAACACCGAUUGUAGGCAAGGUAGACCCUUGGUUUGGGUUCUUAGGCUUUGAGCUUAUUUCAGGCUAUUGGUCAGAAGUUAAGAAAAAUAGCACAUAGGUAUGGGACCUACUUUUCAUUGAAAGAACCUUGGAUGGAAAUUUUGGAUGCGCCAUUGAGUCUAGAAUGUCAAAUUUGAUACGGUAUAAUAAAUUUUUUGUGUAUAUAGGAUUUCAAAUGAAUCUCGAGAAGUCGUAGAGACAUGGAAAUUUCCAAGUCUUCAGCUGGUGUUGGUGCAUUUACUUAAGUGGCUAGCCAGCCGCUUAAGAAGCCUGACUUGCUCAGAAUGGUAUCUCUUAACUGAUGCCUUUAUUGCUUAAGUGUGGCCACUUAAGUGGAUAAAUUUUGAUGAAGAGACAUGCACAAUAGUCGAAUAAUGUCGCUAAAGCGUCACUUGGCUGCUUAAGUAACACUUGGCACUUAUAAAUCCCCCACUUAGCCUAUUUUCUCCCAUUUUCACCCAUUUCCAAGAGAGCGAAACCCAAGAAGGUGUGAAAACUUGAGAGAAGUAUUUGUAAGCUCGAAUGACGCAUUUCUUCUCUGAAUUCUAAGUGAGUUUUGAUCAAUUACAUGGUUAAUUUCUUAUAAUGUCCCCAAAAUCCCUAGAAAAUUGGUGGGUUAAUUGUAGCACCAUUUAACCUUAGAAUUCACCUAUUAUUGAGGGUAAAUAUUCCUUAAGCUUAGAAGAAUGUGUUAUCAAUUUUGAAAGUGUGAUUUUAUAAGUGGGCCCUACAUGAGAUUUUACAUGAUUUUGGACCCAAAGCACAAAAGUAUAAUAUGGGUAUAGUUGUUAUCAUUUUUAUAAGUAGAUUAUGAUUUUGAUAGAGUGGCAUCUUACGAAAGCUUCUUGGAAAGGAGAAUCGAUGAUUUAGUGGAUUAUUCGGGCUAUUCUUUGUUGUCCAGAUUUGCUAGGUUUACCAUCAUCAUAGAUUGAGCUAAUUCAUAGUAUAUUUAUGAUAUUAUUCUAGAUAUAGGAUAGGAAUUUGGUCUUCAAGGUAUAAUAGGUAUAAUUAGUUUUAGUUGGAUUGUUUAGCUUGUUAAGGAACCAUAAAUUAGGCGUAAUUGAUUUAGUUGCUCAUGAUUUAGAUAGAAUUGCAAUCUUAGGGCUAAUUGUUGCUUAUUUAACAUCUAAAAGUGAAUUUAGAUACCUUAGCCUAGUCUGAUUUAAAAUUUGCCUUAGAAUGUAUUUCAGGGAUUAGAAGUAGGCCCCUUCGGUCAACCUUAGGCCAAGAUUUGUGUUAGCUCUUGUAGACUUCUAGGUUCAUAUUAUGCCCUUUAAAUUGAUUAUUUUAGAGUUUGAGGAGACUAGAUACAUUAUAUUUAUGCUAGUUUGGUACUUAGAAGUUGGUGUUAAUUUUAGACUAAGUUCAGCGAUUUAUUGAUAUUGAGUUCUGGUUCAAGUCCGACAAUUGAUGAUCAUAUAGAUGACAUGAGUUUCCAUUUAAGUUCAACAAAUGAUGAUUAUUGAUAAUGAUAUUGAGUUUUGAUUCAAGUCCUACAUUAAGAGUUUAUUUAUGAUAUGAUACGGUAUGGAUAGAGUCAUAGUUAUGGAUUGAUAUUUGGUAAAUUUAUGAAAUUUUGGUUAUUUACUUCCUUGAUUGCACCAUCUAGACUUAUAGAGAUUGCAUUGGGUUUUUACUUUCCUAUAUUUACUGUCUUAUGGGGGCUAGUCUUGUAGUAUUAAUAAAGCCUUUUUUUCGUAUUAUACAUAUUCUAGUUAUUUAUUUACAGUGUUGGAGCUUAUUUCUAAGUUUUCCCUUUUACUUUGGCUUGGAUUAUUUAUCUUGCAUCUUAUCGUACUUAUAUCAUGAUGCCUACUAAGUACCCAUGGUUUUUGUACUCAUACUACACUUUUGUACCUUUUUGGUGCAGAUCUGAGUACUAGUAGUAGUCGUUGAUUUGACAAUUAUAUUGAGUUUAGUUCUGAGAUAGGGUGAGCUCUUGAAGUUGGAGUUGCCCAUUUUUGUUCUACUAUUUGUGUUUAGUUUUUCACUAUUCGAGACUGAUGUAUAUUGAUUUUUACAGUACUUAGGUUCCUUUUUGCUAAUGGCUCUUAUAUCGACACUCCUAGAUCGUACAAUGGUUAUUGAUGUUUUAUUUAUCUUUUAGACUAUUAUUAUUACCUUAUUAUUAUAAUAAGUCUUUGUUUGCAAACUUCUCAGCUUUUUCACCUUUUCCAGCAAAUUAUUCCAUUGAAUAUAUCUCCUACCUUUUGGUGGAAUAAAGUAGGUGCCAUCAUGACUCAUAAAAUAGGCCGUGACUAAUUGGUAUAAAAGACUAGGUUCACUAGAAUUAUUGGUACAAAGAGGAAGUAUCUAUUAGAGUCCCGAGGUCAAAACAAUGAUGUAUAUUUCUUAUCUUCGAGAGGCUAUAGGACAUUCUUAGGAUUUUUUCACUUAUUUCAUGCAAAGAUUCUAAGUUGGUUUCUAAAGAAUUCCUUUGGUUUCACCUUUUCACAGAUGACUAGGACACAUGCUACUGCUAUAUGAGAUGAGGACCUCGAGUCUGUGACUAGGGAUCCUAUAGUAGUUUUUGGAUGACCUAGAGGUUGUGGGAAGCCUGAAGAUGUAUCCCUAACUAGGGUACAGGAUAGUGGGCCUUCACCAGACCCUAUUCUUACUCUCGAGACAAAAAUUUUUCCUUCUCAGCUAAUGGUGGGCCAGGGACCUUACCAGGCUCCAUCGAAGUUUAUUUCUUCUUUAGUGCUUAGUGAUUCAUUAUUUCAUUUCUUAUGAUUAGUUGGUGGUGUACCAUUAAUAGUGCAUAGUCUGUAGAUCAGAGUGGUAUCAAAAUAGAGGUGUAACCUGUAGUUGCAGUCCUUGGAGUUGAGGUACCUCCUGCACUGAUGGUUACUAAUUUGGUAAUUGCCCAGCCUAAUAUUUCUAUUGAGGAGCAGAGGAUGUUGGGUAGAUUAUUGAGAUUGGCUCUGCCUAGGCUUUCUGGUGCACUGGGCAAGAAUGCCUAUGAGUUCUUGAUUGCUUUUAAGAAUAGGGUCUGUAAUUUAGACCUAGUUGAGACUCAAGGUAAGGACUAAACUAAGUUUUAGUUAGACUUAGUGGCUCGACAUUGGUGGAGAGGUCAUCUUGAUUCUAGGUCAGUCGGAUCUUCCCCAUUGAUAUGGACUCAGUUCUCUGAGAUCUUCUUGGAGAAGUAUGUGCCUUGAAGUCUUAGGGAUCAUUUCAGAGAUCAAUUCUCGAGGUUGAAGUGGGGCUCCAUGACUGUCGUGGAGUAUGAGGAUUGAUUUCAUGAGUAUAAGAGGUUUUGGUGUGUUGUUCAGGGAUAAAACUCCCUCUUUGCAUGUUGAAAUAGAGUUUGGUUGUUGUGGGUAGGCCUUUUAUUGAGGUUUUUGAUCAUGCUCCUAUUAUGGAGGAGAUGCAUUAUAAGGUGCAAGGAUGCAACAAUAAGAUCUUGAGAUAUUACGGUAGUUUCAGUGGGAGUCGUAGUGUCUUAUAGUUUAGAGGUGGUGGUUCUCAGGGUAGGUACGCUCCGCAUCAGUCGUAUUAGCAUCAGGAUUAGUCUAGUAGGAACGUCCAGGCCAUAGUUUAGAUCACUAAUGGAUGUCAAUCUAGUUACAAUAAUCAUCCUAGCCAGAGUAGUGGUCAGACUCUGAAGGGUUCAUAGUUUGGUUAUUCUAGCCAUGAUGGUUAUUCUGGGUCAACCAAAUUUUUUGGUUUUAAUACAACACCAGGGCAUGUUAUGGUUGUAUGGGUUUUGGCCAAUUCUCGAGAGAGCGCCCCAGUUAUGGAAUAGUAAUCCCUUUAGUUUAGAGUGUUCCAUUAUUUAGGCGGGUGUAGUUAGUUUUAUGUCGUACCUGCUAAACUCGAGGCAGAAUCUUUGAAUGUUGUUAUCACAAGUAUGAUUUUGGUAUGCUGUCAUCUGGCUUUUGCUUCAUUUGACCCCAAAUCCAAUUAUUCUUAUAUGUUUUCUUAUUAUGCCCUAUGAUUGGAGUUAUAUUGGGAUUCUUUAUCUUUGUCAUUAUGUGUGUCUCUCCCAUGGAUGAUUUUAUAGUAGUAGAUCGAGUUUAUAUAUCAUGUGUUGUGAUUGUUCAAGAGUUUUUUGCUCUUGCUAAUCUUAUUGCGUUAGACAUAGUAGAUUUUGAUAUGAUUUUGGCCAUGGAUUGGUCAUCCCACUAUCAUACGGUCUUGGAUUAUUUUACAAAGAUUGUUACCUUAUCCAUGCCUGGUAUACCAUAAAGCUAUUAGCCACGAGUCGAUGGAGAUUAUUUCUUAUAUUCGAGCAAAGAGUCUUAUUUUGAGGGGUUGCAAGUCUUAUCUUAGUUAUAUUUAUGAUGUUAGUGUGGAGAGUCCAUCGCUUGACUUUGUUUCUAUAAUUCACGAGUUUCAUGAUAUUUCCCUGUUGAUCUACCUGGUCUUUCUCCAGAGUGUGAUAUUGAGUUUGUUAUUAAUCUUGAGCCAGGCACUCGAUCUAUUUCUAUGUCACCUUACUGUAUGGAUCCUGCCAAGCUUAAGGAUCUAAUUUCUCAACUUUAGGAUCUUUUAGAUAAGGGUUUUGUUAGACCGUGUGUGUCAUCUUAGGGAGUACGUACCUUGUUCGCAAAAAAGAAGGAUGGUUUCAUGCAUAUAUAUAUUGACUACAGGCAGUUUAAUAAAGUGAUAGUGAAGAAUUGGUAUCUUAUGACUCGCAUUGAAGAUUUGUUAACUAGCUUCAGGGUGCAGUAGUUUCUCUAUGAUUGAUUUGAGAUUGGGUUACCAUUAGUUGAGGAUUCGAGUUAAGGAUAUCCAAAGACAAUCUUUAGGACCUGGUAUGGUCAUUAUGAGUUCUUGAUGAGAUAUUUUGGGUUGAGCAAUGCCCUAGCCAUAUUUAUGGAUUUGAUGAACUGCGUGUUCACACAUUAUUUGGAUUCCUUUAUAAGUGUGUUCAUUGACUACAUCCUUGUGUAUUAAGGAGUAGAGAAGAGCAUAUAUAGUAUUUGAGGAUUGUGCUUCAGACUUUGAGAGACCAUAGGCUUUUUGCCAAAUUCUCUAAAUGUAAGUUUUUGUUAGAGUCUGUGACAUUUCUUGGGCAUGUGGUGUCUAAGGAUGGGAUUAUCGUAGACCCAACAAAGAUUAAGGCUAUUCGUGAUUUAGCUAGGCCUAGAUCUUCAUCUGAGGUUCCUAGCUUCAUUACUUUGGCUAGUUACUAUAGACGAUUUGUUGAGAGUUUUGCCACUAUUGUAGGGCCGAUGACUAGAUUGACUUAGAAGGAGGUUUAUUUCUAAUGGUUCAAGGAGUUUGGAUUGAACUUUGGGAAGCUGAUAGGAUUUUUUUACUUUAGCUCCUAUAUUGGCUCUUCCUGUCAAGGGUGAGGGAUUCACUAUCUAUUGUGAUGAUUUUGGUGUUGGUUUUGGUUGUGUAUUGAUGAAGUAGGGUCAAGUUAUUACUUAUGCAUGAAGGAAGUUAAAGGUGCAUGAGUGCAACUACUCCGCUCAUGAUUUAGAGUUGGCAUCAGUAGUUUACGCACAUAAUAUUUGUAGGUGUUAUCUUUAUGGCAUGCAUUAUGAGAUUUUUAUGGAUUAUUGUAGUCUUCAACAUCUUAUGACCUAGAGAGAGAUUAAUCCUAGGUAUUAUAAAUGGAUGGAGUUUCUUAAGGAUUAUGACAUCUUUAUUUUGUAUCCAGGCAAGGCAAACAUGGUAUCGAAUGCUUUGAGCUAGAAGGUGGUGAAUAUGGGUAGUUUGUCUUCUAUAUCAAUCUCUUAGAGGUCGUUGACAUUGGAUAUGCAGUCCUUAUCCAACAUGAUGGUGUGACUUGAUAUUUAAGAUCCUAGGAGGAUUCUUGCUAGUGUUGAGGUAAGGUCUACCUUAUUUGAGUAGAUUCGGAGUCGUCAGUUUGAGGAUAUGAGACUUUGCAUCAUCUGUGAUCAGAUGUUAAGUGGUGAGUCCAAGAGAGACACCAUAUUCUAAGGGUGUUUUGAGAUUUGAUAGCUGCAUUUAUGUUUUGAUAGUUGGAGACUUCAUUUAAUCAAUUUUGCGUGAGGCGCACGACUCUUGAUAUUCUAUUCACCCGGGUACAACUAAGAUGUAUAGAAAUUUGAGACAACAUUAUAGAUAGAGUUGUACGAAGAGAUAUUUGAUGGAUGUUGUAGCUCAUUGCCUAUGUUGUUAGCAGGUGAACGCCGAGCAUUAGAGUCCUUGUGGCUUGAUUCAAAGAUUGUCCAUUCCCAAGUGGAAAUGAAAGCGGAUUACCAUGGACUUUGUUAGUGGUUUGCCUCUCACCUUCCAUGGUUUUGAUGGUAUUUGGGUCAUUAUGGAUUAGUUGACUAAGUCGGCAUAUUUUAUUCCUAUUCAGAUAUCCUUUAGUGCUGAGAGGUUAGCCCAUAUCUAUGUUCGUGACGUAGUCUGUUAAAAUUAGUGCCCAUAUCAAUAUUUUUAGACUAAGGUUCGUUGUUCACUCCUAGAUUUUGAAGGGUUUUUCAAAAGGAGUUGGGUACUCAGGUGGAUCUUAAUAUAGCCUUUUAUCCUUAACCGGCGGGCUGUCAGAGCAAACUAUUCAGGUUUUCAAGGAAAUAGUCCUAGCCUGUGUUAUGGAUUUUGGAGGUCAGUAGGAGCAAUAUUUAGCCUUGGUGGAGUUUGCAUGUAAUAAUAACUAUCAUUUGAGUAUUGAGAUGGAGCCUUUUUAGGAUUUGUAUGGUACCCGAUGUCGUUCUAUUAUUUGGUAGUCUAAGACCUCCGAGAUUGGGCCUUGUCGUAUUGACUUGAUUUAGGAUCUGUUGGAUAGAGUUAGGGUGAUUCAAGAUGGGUUGAGGGUAGCUCAGAGUAGGAAAGAGGCUUAUGCAGAUUGUAGACUUCGUGCCUUAUAAUUUAGAGUUGGUGAGAAGGUAUUCAUUCAAGUAUCUCCCAUAAAGGAUAUGAUAAGGCUCAAGAGGAAAUGCAAGCUUAGACAUAGAUAUAUUGGACCAUUUGAGAUCCUUCUCACAGUUGGUGAGGUGGCUUAUGAGUUAGCUUUGCCCCAGAUUUUGCUGUUAUUCAUUUGAUUUUCCAAGUAAUUCUAUGAACAAUCCUUUGCAGAAUUGGAUUUUUUUAUAGUGGAAAAGCCAUGUUUCUGUGUUGUGAUGGUACAUCCCAAAUGUGUCUCAUGUGCUUAGAUGGGACUCAGGUCAGUUGGAUGAGCGGUUGACCUUCUUGGAAGAGCCGAUUUCAUAUUAGCCAGGGAUUUCAGGCAGUUGCCUACUAGAAAGAUUCUAGUAGUUAAAGUUUAGUGGAGAAAUUAUCCAGUAGAAGAGGCUACUUGGGAAAUCAAGAACCAGAUAUGGGCCCAGUAUCCUCACCUAUUUGAGGCUUCAGGUACAUCCUAAUCCUUUACUUUUGCUAAGGAAAGUCAUUUUAGUAGUGGAUAAUAUAAUGACCCUCUAGGUCAUUUUUUGCAUUUCUGCUCAUUUUUUCCAUUUAGAGCUUUCCUAAAGCUGCCCUAAGUCAUUUAUGACUUGGUUGAGCUGGAAGCUCGUUUAUAUGGCAGUUUGAUUAGAUUUUAAAACCAAUAUCUUAAUUUGAAGUCUUCACUAGUUAAAAUUAGCUACAGGGCAAAAGCAUCAGUCUAGUCUCGUGUUUCAAUUUCGCAAUUCCAACAGCUUUAGAAUGUCAAUUAUAGGUUGGGUAGACCCCUGGUUCAGGUCCUGAGGCUUUUGGGUUAUUGGUCAGGAGUUAAGAAAAACAACACAUGGGUGUAGGACCCGCUUUUCAUUAAAAUAACCUUGUAUGGAAAUUUCAACUUAGCCAUUGAGUCCAAAAUGUCGAAUUUGAUAGAGUAGCAUAGUUCAUUUAUGUAUACAAAAUUUUGGAUUAAUCCCAAGGGGUUGGCAAAGACUUGGAACAAUUAAAAGUCUCAGCUAGUGCAGGUGCACCGCUUAAAUACCCUUUUAGGUCUCUUAAUUUAAAGGGCGAUAAAGCGAAUGGUCCAUCACUUAAGCGAUUGAGCUGGCCCAGUGGAGGUCCGAUUAAGCAAAACCCCUACCUCUUAAGCUAAAACACCCUAGUUUUGACCCUUAGAAAUUCCCCGAUUUUGAGCUUCUGGACAUAUACGACUUAAGGGUACUUGUCGUAUGAUGUGGGUACAGUUUUGCAUCCUCAAGUUGUACUAUAAUUAGUGUAGUUUGGUUGGUUUCUUUCCAAGUUACAAAUGGACAUCAUAAGAGUCAUAUGGAGAUUGUAUGAGUGGUAUAGUCCAAUUCGUAUGUUGAUCAGUUUCCACUCCCUUUGAUUUUGUCUUGGAUACGGUUUGAGGGUACAAGUCGUAUGGUAUGGGUACGACUUGGGCAAGGGAAGUUGUAUGGUGGACAGUGUAUGAUGUCUAACAUUCUUUCUAGGGUAUGAGUGGUGGGUACCACUCGUAUGUUGUUGGUACGGUUUGGGAUGGUGGAGUUGAUGCAAGAGAAUGCCCUGCUAGUCUUUGCUUACAUAGAAGAAUAAGAUGUAGAAUGGGAUUUCAAGGCAAAAUAGCCUAUAUAAGAGAAAGAGUUCCUCACUAGACUUUAAGCUGGGGAAGGCUAGUUCAAGAACUAAAAAGAUCUCACUUCUAUUUACUCAGACGCCUCUUUCGUAUCGAAGACUCUGGUAGCUAGAACUCCAUCGGCAGCGACUCUUACCACUGCAACCUAGGCACUCAUUCCUUGGAGAUGAUCUGUCAGUCCACUAUUACCACAAACCUCUACUUUAAACUGAAGCGACUUCGUUCAUUCCCGAGUCGAUAAUUGCCAUAGGAUGGAACCCAGUAAUGGCACAUCAGCUUACCGAUUCCUUAAUAAGCAUUCAUUCCUGGACUUUACAAGUUACAAGUUAUCCCCAUAUGGAGUCCACCCAAUGGAGAAAUCCAAUCCAAUGGGUCACUGGACUGGGCUUGACAUCAAAGAUAGAGUGUAUAAGCGCAAAAAAGGAAAAUUUCCUGGGAAAACAAUCCCAAGGGAAGCUUCUCGCUAGUGCUUUACCCCACCACUAAACAUGGUAUUGCUAUGGUCAAUAAACAGCCUUAAAGUGGUUCUGAAUGACUUUGAGGAGGAUCCAGAGCAGAACCUUUCUCUCUCGAAGGAUCUAUGAAAAGAACAUCCCACUACGAAUUCCUAUCCCAUUAAUAAAGUACAGAUAAAUAAUAUAAUCCAAGUCUGACUUUUAAAGCAUAUGCAUUGAAAAAAACCUUUGGCUUCAGACUUUCUGCUUUGAUAGAUCUUUCAUCUCAAAAUAGGUUUUACCUAACCCAUUAUGUCCUUUGUUUCAUACCCAUUUUGAGGAGCGGGAAUCAUCGAAUUGAAAACCCUUUCUUCUGCCCUCGCCACUUCUUUCGCUGACCCUAUCCACCUCCUUUGUGGAAUACUAGAAAAAGAGAUGAAUUAGCGGAUCAUAGGGCUAAGUCGAAGCAUGCCUGAACCUUCUUCGUCGGAGACUGAGUUAAUAUACAAUCCCACUUUGGAGACUUCUCUUCGGGAUAGGUAGGAUAUAGUGCCACAAAUUAUAGUCUACUUGGCAUGCGUCGAUUCUUUGCUGGAGAAGACUAGAUCACUAGUUUUGGACUAUCGAGAAAUCCCCCUCUUUCUACAUCCCUGGAACUGGCUUUGCUUUUUUGCUUUAAAGACCCCGCCUACUUCACACCUUCUAUAAUAGGGGAAAUACUUCUUCAUGAGUACUAAUUUGAUUAGCAUAAACGAUCCUCUUUUGAGCCCUUGAGAUUUUACAUAUCAUCUUCAGAAGAUUCAAUUGGAUCAUUCUUGGAACAGAAAAAUGAGGAAGAAAAGAUAGAGUGUGCUCUAGAACUCCAACACUUGGGUUGAACAGAAAAGGCUCAAUCUUUCUCUAUUCAGGAGUAAGAAAAAGCAAAUGCGAUCGUCGUAAGAUGCCUUGGAAUUCCAUUCUGUAGGGAAGGAGGACCUACUGAAUAAGCCUCCAAUCAAUCUCCGGCGGGUGAGAAAAUGGAUUUGCCUCUUUCAUUUAGUGUUCAUUGUCUAAUCGGAUGCUUAACCCCCGCCCCCAACUACGGGGGAAGUUACACUUUAACUUCCUGCCUUGACCUAGGCCUCAUAUCUAUCGUUCUGUCCACUGAACUCAUCAAUCAACCUUGACCUUGACUCUCACUACAUACGCCAACUCUAUGUAUUAAUGAAAAAGCUUUAUCUAAUAAAGCAAAAAUAAAACUAGGAAAGUAAUCGAACAGACGAGGCUCUGUAAGAGAAGAGCUAAUUGGAGUAUGCCUGGAACGAUGAACGAGGAGUAUGAGAAGAGAGUUUCGAAGGUCAGAUCGGGUUGGCUGGUAAAGCUUGUGCUCCAGGUCAAUCAAGACUACAAACUAGUACUGCUAACAAAGUGAGGCUGCUAAACAAGAGCUUGUUCUGAUUCUGGAUAUGAGAAUAAGAAGAAAAGAAGUACAAGAGGACAAGAAGGAGAAGAGGCGAGUACAGUUUCACUUAAGUUUCACUUGCUUGGUAACCUUUUUCCCGGUCAGAGAUAGGAAAGAAUCCAAAGCUUGCAAGGAUAUUAGGCUUCGAACACUGUUACGACUGAUAAAUUGGAAAGCUAGGAUGAAAUAUCCUACCUUGAAUAUAAAAUCAAUUACCAGAUGGGCUGGCUGGCCUACUUGUAUGUAAUAGAAUUGAAAUCAAGGCAAAUUCCCCUGAUGGGAGUGAAUAAAGGGAUUCCCCGAUGAACGAAUGCAAUACAUGGAAGGCUGGAGGAUAUAGUACUGGAUGGCUUUACCUACGACAUUUCCUACUCUUACUUUUUAUACAAAGAGAAUGGGCAGCCUAGAAAACUUAGAAUGAUUACAGAAUGCUUACCGUCUUCGAUUCAAUUUAUUCUAAGUGGUCCAUUGGGUAAGCAGCUGAGGGAAGAGAUCUAUACCCAUUACCGUAGCUAAAAGGGUUCCCUUUCUUACUUGAUUGAGACUGAGAGUCAGGGCAUCAGAGGUCUUAGAAAUCCCAUCCCUAACGAGUUAGAAGUGGAACAAGCGUUGUUAGCCUUUUGCUUGAGAGUUGGACUUGUGAAGUCAAAGACUUCAACCUGCUGCUUGACUGCUCGACUUGGCUAUUGAAGAAGCUAUUACCCCCUAGGCACCAGGAAUAGGCAAAAAAAGAUGGGCUUUCCUCCAAUUGGCAUGAUUGAAAUAGACGACUAGGAAGGUACGAAGUGACUCGACUCUAAAGGAAAGAAAGGAGGCCAUUGGAUGAGGUUACUUCGUUCCUCAACUUUUUGAAUUUCAUUCUCCCAGGAAUUUGGGUUGCAACCAAAAAUAAAACUUAGUAUCACUCUAAUCAGCUAUGAUUCCUCUUGUAGAAAAGAAAGAUACAUCUCUUUUUUAUUCAAAAGCUGUCGUGCAUUUGUUUUUUAGAUAGGUAUACUUGGGCCUUCACUGACUAUGUGAGGACUUUUUAGGAAAAAGAUGUCCAGCCUACAAAAUGAACUAAAGACUAUCUGAUGAAAAGAUUUCUCAUAGUCAAAAUAGCCGAUAAAAGAAAAAGAGCAGAAGUAUGACCUUUUUAGGAAGAAUAUAAAUAAAGCAAGAUUUUGACCAGGCACGUAUCGAAGGAGAAAAUAAGGAGGUAGCAAUAGCAUUAGCAGGAGUAGCAGGAAGUGAACGAAAGUUAGGUUGUUCUCAAAUCAGCGCACUAGGAAUCAAAUAUUGAAGAUGAUUUCCAACAAGCGCACAUCAUAGGUUGUUAGCAGGAUAAGGCAAGAAAGAUAUUGAAUCAGUUUAAAGAGCAUUUAUCUAAGCUAAGCCCAGUUAAUCCUACUAUCUUUAGGAUCUAAGCUUGGCCACUUAUAAGUCUCAAUUGAGGCAGAAAAAAGACAUAUUCUUAACCCGAUUGGGGAUCUUGCUACAUAGCUUUAUAUCUAAUCAGCUGAUAUACUGAUGCAGGAAAAUUCUUCUAAAGAAGACGUGUUGAUCUUUCUUUCCUUCACUAACCCCCAUAGUUGAAUAAGAAAGUUUCGUCUCCAGUUUAGGGAAAGGACAAAGGAAAGAUUCAGCGAAGGAUAAGGUGGAAUGAGAUCCUUCGGUUUAGCUCCUUUAGUUAAGGCGCCCAACAAUUGAGUUCUGUAGCUUAGGUAAGCAUCCAUGAGAGGUCUUGUAGUGCAUCCAUCUAGAACAGCCCUCAAAACGAUCCAAAAUAAAAAUAAUUAUGGUCAAGCAGGGAUCUCACCAGCGGUAAAAGCGAGGAAGACCUAUACUAUUAAUUUCUCUAUACUGAUACUCUACUCUAGACAGCCAUAGUCUCUAGAUAACCUUAACCAAGGUUUCGAUUCUGAUAUACUAGCAUUGUCUUCCCUAUAGAGAAGAUAGACUGGUCUAUAAAAGCUUCUGGAACUAGAAGAAGGAAUGUUGGAGCUAUUCCCUUAGUGACAUUAGCAUCUUUCUUUCGAAUAUUUGGACAUUGUAGGCUCUCGUCCAACAAAGGAUUGGGAAAGAAAAACUCAUAUUCCUGAAUAAGGAGAAAGUCUAGGAAGAUAUCAACCAUGGAUGGAAGGUCUCUUGUAAGCUAGAAGGUCCUACUAAGUGGUCUAAGUCAAACCCCUUCCUUGAAUAGUUAAGGAAAGCUUUCAUAUAAUGCCUUUGUUCAUUUCGGACUCUUUGACUUACUUGGGACUUUAACCUGGAAUUAGUGGGGAGACUGCUGCUACUACUAUUUCCUUGCUGAGGGAGAGAUGGGCGAAGGGUAGAUUUUUGAUCUAUUUCUAAGCCAGGAAGAUGCCUCUUCUUUCUUUGACCUUCCCACGAGCUUCGUAUAGUUUGUGGGGAGUAUAGUAUAUAGAAGUAGGAUUUGGUAUUUGGAUAUUUUUUGUAUCAAUGAUCUGGUGAAUUAUCAAUGAUUUAUUCUUAGAUUUUCUAAAUAAUGAAGAGAUAAAAAAUUUGCACUAUUAUGAAAUGUUGAUUGUAAUAGUAAUAGUAAUAAGGGGUAAAUCAACUGAGUAUUCAACUUUUUAAAGUCUUUCUAAUUUCUAUAAGAAAGGAACUGAUGUAUACAUAGGGAAAGCCGUGUGCAAUGAAAAGUGCAACCACGGCUUGGGGAGGGAUCUUUACUUGUUUAUUUUAUUUCAGAUUAACAUUAAUUUUAUUUAACAAGGAACUUAUCUACUCCAUCCGACUAGUUCCAGGUUUGAAUCCCGAGCAACCCACUAUCAUAUCGAAAUUAUAAUUCCUUGUAGAGAACUCCAUAUUUUUCCAAUCAACUUCAAACAAAAUUAAAACAGAUCCACAUACACCUUGGUUGACACGAGUAUAUAAGUCAUGUUAUACUGUUGAAUAACAAGCAUUCUAUUUUGAUUUGUAGAAAACUCAUCUGCUUGGGAGUCCCUGAUGAACAAUAAACCAAGAUUUUACCAUGACUGCACUUUUUAGAGAGAGGUAAAAGCGAACCCAAGCUUAAGGAGCUCUGAGCCCCAAGCCAGCACUUGUUACUCUCUUGUUAGUGAUCAUGUUUGGUAGAUCUUUGGUGUAUCGACAGUCUUCCCAGUUUUCCAUUCGAUAGAUCCCACAAAUAUGCUGUGAAUUUGUGCGUGCCUAUUCUUCAAUCCAAACUGGUGAUUCACUACAUUCCCUUCUCUAGUCAGGAAUAGAGUCAUGGAUUCCCAACUCAAGAUAAGUCCUAAGGUUCUGUUAAAGUAUCCUUAAUAGAAUCUCUUUCUCUAGAAUCCAGGCUUGUAGAACUUUGGCGAAUCAACAGGGUUUCUUUCGUAAUUAGGUUAUUCUCUGAACCUUGUUUGUUACUGAGCUGGGUAACUAAAAUAGGAUUGUUUGUUACUGACCCCACAACUUAAAACACUACUAGUACUUUAUUUACCCUAUUCUUCUCAAUCAAAAACACUUUAAACACUCUCAAAUCUUUCUCAAGGCUCUUGGUUUAAGAAAGGCUAAGGUUUCUUUAAUACAAUCGAUUUAGGUCAUACAAAGGUGGGUUAUCUCCAUACUUUUUGGUAUCUAAGGCAUAUUACUUCUCUCUCAUUGUUAGUUCAAACAAAAAAUAUGUUUUCAUGGAUGCUUUACUUAGUAUUGAUGUUGUAUUGUUUGGGGCUUUUUUAAAAUUAUGUUGGGGGGUUUUGUUGUUCUUUUUUGAAUAAUGUUUUCCCAUGUUUUAUUAUGGUUUUAAUAUGAGAUUUAUGGUUUUCAACAACGUGGUUGCAUGGGAAUAGUUAAUUGAUACUUGAUUUUGGUUUUGGAAACUAUAUGCCCUAAACAUGUUCUUUAAAGUUCCUAUGAGAAUGUUUUUAUCACAUAGCUUGGCUUUUAUGGAAAACUUUGCAUUGCAUGAUAUGGUAAUGGAACUUAAAGUAGGUUUAAAGGGUUAAAUGGCAAGGCCUUGGUGGCCAUAGCUUAAAUGAAAAACUUUGUGGGGUACACGGGAAUCCCCUAAGUGAUUUUAAUAAUGGAGACUAUAGGGUACAUUGGAAUCCCCUAAGUAUUGGCUAAUGACAUUACUUGCAAGAUAUAGUUGGUAUGACGAUACCACUUUAUAUGGCCUUGGUUAUUAAUAAAUGGAAUUACUAGUUUGGUUAUGUGCUAAAGUUUUUAAUUGUACAAUAAUGGCGGGUUGUGAUAGCUAACCGUGAAGGUGUCAGUCUAAUGGACGCACUCAUGUUUGCUGACAUGAGGGUUGGUUAUGGUGACCAUAUACUUGUGGGGUACAUGAGAAUCCCCUAAGUUAUACUUGUAUUUAUGUAUCAUAGUGGGUGAAGGGUACACUGGAAUCCCUACCCCUAUGAUUUCUCUGGUGUAUGCGACUACAGGUAGUGGGGCCCAUUCAGGGGGUAACACUGACCUAUAUAGCCUGUGGGUGGUUUUAGGAUAGUCAAGCUACGUAACCCAAGUUAAAGAUUUAAAUGCAUGCUAAACCUGGUUUACUUUCCAGGUAUGGAAUAUAUAUAUAUAUAUAUAUAUAUAUGUAUGGAUAUGUUUGCAUAUGAUUAUUUUCUUGGUUUCUAAUGUUGGCAAUAUUUUAUCCUUACUCCUAAGUACAUGCUAGUGUUCACCUCUAACCCGUCUUCAGGCGCUAUGUCUCUAUACUUUGUAGGAACCAUCCGUACUAUUACUCUUGCUAAUUGAUCUUGGAUUCAGGGAUACCUUUAAGACGGAUUGAAGUGGCGAGCAUCUAUAUUAUAAAAGCCUCUAUUUCAUUUUAUGGAUCUCUCUACAUACUCUUGCUAUUUCUUAAGCUUUGGUUUUUAGCUAUGGUCAGGGGCAUAUCCCAACCGAAUGUUGUUUUGAUUUCUUAUAGAGGCUUUGUGAGACUACUUUGGGUUGGUAUAAACGGUGUCAGUAUUAGUGCCAGCCUUGGCAUUGGUAUUGGUAUUGGGGCUAACAAAGUUUGACUGUAUUUGAUUUAUGAUUUUUCCAUCUUGUCAUGUUAUAUGAUCGAGAUUCAUCUGACUUAAGGUGCAAGGCGGUAGGCUUGGUAUUAGGGGCGGUCUCUAGUCUUGGAUGGGGCUUGAGGCACCCAACACAAUUAGGCCCUCGCUCGGGUCAUAUUAGAUUGGUAUAAGAGACUAGGUUCAUGGCCAAUUGGGAGUUCAUAAAGCCAUAUCGAGUAGAGUCUCUUUUAGGGGUCUGUAGCAUGCCACACUCAUAAAUUUUGCUACAAGGUAUUUAGGAAUGUUUCUCUUUCUUAUGUUCUAUUUUCAAGAUGUAGAGUCUAAGUUCUUGAAUUCUCCUCUAAUUUUAGUUUUUCUGCUCUUCAUAUCAUGCCUCCUCGAUGAUCUAAAGCUCAUGGAAACUCCUCUUUACCAACUAAGGACAAUGCUGAUGGGACCUGUGCUACUUAUUGGGUCCAGACCCGAUCUAGAGGUCUUCUUUCAGAUUGUUCUGUAGUUUCACCGAUUCUUUCUUGUCCAUCUCAAGCUUCUUAAGCUAAAGUGAAGAAUGUUGAGUUUUGUCAAUCUAUUCAUAUGUUGGAACAGUUGGUAGCUACGUAGUCUGAGUGUGGUGUUCCUGUUACUCUAUCUUCUGGGGACACAAGGGUUGGCCAGUUCAUGAGGUAAAACCCUCUAACCUUUAUAGGUGUUAAGGUGGAGGAGGAUUCUCAAGGUUUUCUAGAUGAGAUAAAUAAUAUCUUUAGUGUUAUGCAUUCCAUGAAUAUGGAGGGUAUGGAGUUUGCCACCUAUAAGCUAAAGAAUGUGGUGCACCACUGGUACGAGGAAUGGGAAUAGGCAAGGGGUGAGAAUAUUAAGUCAUCUCUGUGGGAGGAUUUUUCUAAUACUUUCCUGGACCACUUCUUUCCUCAGGAGUUAAGAGAAGCAAAGAUGGAAGGGUUUAUUAAUUUGAGGCAAGGUAAGAUGUCUGUCAAGGAGUAUGCCUUGAAGUUUCACUAAUUAUCUCAGUAUGAUCUGGAAAUGGUUUCUAGCAUUAGGGAUAAAAUGAAGAAGUUUUUUUUUGGGUUAUCAGAGAGUUGAUAUUAGAGAGUAAGGAUGCCCUGUUGAUCAAGGACAUGGAUAUCUCUAGGUUGGUUGUGUACAUGCAAUAGGUAGAGGAAGAGAAGAAGAAGCAGGCUAAAAUAGGAGAGAGGUAGGGUAAGAAGUUUAAGUUCUCUGAGUAGUGUGGUGGCCAACAGUAGAGUGUCACGGAUGGUGGUAAAUGGCCCAAGAAGAAGUAGGGAAAUUUUGGUUCUUACUCGAUGGUUAGUACUCCCUACCUAAAGCCGUCGAGUGAUAAACAUUUUCAUGGUGGCAAUAAUUUUACGGUAUAGGGUGCCUAAUAUCAUGCUAGUAAGUCCUAGUCAACUCUAUCAUAUCCUUCCUGGAGGUUUUAUGGUAGAUUUCAUUAGGGUUUCUAUGAUGAGGUAAGGGAUAAGUGCUUCAACUGUGGUCAGUCAGGGCAUAUGCUUGGAAACUGUCCUAUUGUUAAGGUUGCUUCCGGGGCGAACAAAGUUCCAGCUACCUCAUCAUCAGCUCCGGCACCAAAGGGUGAACUAUCUAGUUCUGGCAUUGGUCAGAACCACCUUUAUUCUCUCACUACCCGAUAGGAGUUCGAGGCAUCGCCUAAUGUUGUUAAUGGUACAUUGAAACUCUUUUCCUAUGAUGUGUACUAUUUACUUGAUCUGGGGUCCUCUUUCUCUUAUGUGACCCCAUUUAUCGCUGUGUUUUUUGGAUUUGGUCCGAAGUGUAUUUCGGACCCUUUUUUUGUUUCUACCCUGAUAGGUGACUCUGUGAUUGCUAGAAGAAUAUAUAGGGAGUGUGUGGUAUCUGUUGGUAGUUAAGAAACAUUGGUGGAUCUGUUUGAACUAGAUAUGGUGGAUUUUGAUGUCAUAUUGGGGAUGGAUUGGUUGCAUUCGUGCUAUGCUUCUCUAGAUUAUUGGACUCAAAAGGUUGUCUUUAAGUUUCCUAAUGAGCCAUUUAUUGAGUGGGAAGGUGGUUUCCUAGAUCCUAAGGGGAAUUUUAUAUCAUAUCUUAGAGCUCAAAAAUUAAUCUCCAAAGGGUGUCUCUAUCAUCUAGUCUGAAUUAAGAAUUCUAACUCGUAGGGUCCUUCUUUGCAUUCCGUCCCAAUGGUAAAUAAAUUUCUUGAUGCCUUUAACGAUGACCUUUCUGGUGUUCCUCCUAAUAGGGAGAUUGAGUUUGGGAUUGAACUUGUUCCAGACACUAGUCCAAUUAAUAUUCCCUUGUAUAUAAUGGCUCCUUCUAAGUUGAAAGAGCAUAAGAAGAACCUCAAGGAUCCUUUAGAUAAGGGUUUCAUCCAUCCUAGUAUGUCCCUGUGGGGUGCAUCAGUGUUAUUCGUACAUAAAAAGGAUGGUUUCCUUCAAAUUUAUAUUGAUCAUCGAUAGUUGAAUAAGGUGACGGUAAACAAUAAGUAUCCUCUUCCUAGGAUAGAUGAUCUGUUUGAUCAAUUGCAAGAUGAUAAGUUCUUCUCCAAGAUUUAUCUUCUAUCUAGGUGUCAUCAGUUAAAGAUUAGGGAGGAGAAUAUCCCUAAGACUGCCUUCUGUACCCGAUAUGGGCAUUUUGUGUUUCUGGUUAUGUCUUUUGGGUUGACCAAUGCCCCUUCGACAUUCUUGGAUUAGAUGAAUAGGGUCUUCCAUCAAUUAUUAGAUUUGUUUUUCAUUGUUUUCAUAGAUGACAUUUUGGUGUACUCAAAGAGCGAGGUGGAUUAUGUGAAUCACUUAUGCAUUAUAUUACAGACCUUGAAGGAGCAGAAGUAGUAUGCUAAAUUUUUUAAAUGUGAAUUCUGGUUCAAUGCUAUCACUUUUCUGUGUCAUAUCAUUUCUAGUGAAGGGAUCAUGGUAGAUCCGCAAAAAGUUGGAGUGAUGAAAAAAUGGCCUAGACCCAUGACUCCAAACGAUAUUUGGAGCUUCUUGGGUUUAGCUUGUUACUAUAGGAUGUUUGUGGAACGUUUUUUGACUAUAGUUUCCGCAUUGACUAAGUUGACUCAGAAGAAGGUAAAUUUCUUUUGGUCUGAUGCUUGUAAGGGAGUUUUGAGAAGCUGAAGGAUAAGCUAAUGAUCUAAGGUGUAUUUAUGCACCUUAGUGUUUAUCCUAGCUUAAUUAGCCUUGUUUUGAGGAAUUAUUAUGUGAUUAAUAUGUUAAUGAUGAUAUAAUUAAGCAUCUAAGUGUGUAAGUAUGUGAUUACAAUGUUAAAGGUAUCUUUCAAACAAGUUUGUACUUAAUUUGGUCACCUAGAGUUUCAAUGAGAAUACUAGUGUUACUAGCUUAAGCUAGGUGUUGUUCUAGUCUAUCUCGAUGGAUUCUAAUGUAUUUAUGAGUUCUAAGGUUCUUAUUGCGUAAUUAUAUAUGUAAAAACUCUUUUAUAAUGUUCAAUGGUCAAUUGAAUCAAGCCAGGAGUCAAAACAACAAGUUAAAGACCAACGUGGGCAAGCCUAGUCUUAGCUCGAGUUUUUAGUUCACUGUUAUGGAUGUUGUGUUGUUUUAAGGUCUAAUCCAUGGUGUUUGAUGUUAUAGGAUACUUUUUGAGUUGAUUAUGAUGAAAUAUGAAUUAUAUAAAAGCUGUAAAUCAAGUGGAAACAACACCACAAGGUUGGGAAUGGAUCAAAAAAAGCAUAAGACAUGACUCAACGUAAAGUUUGACACAUUGGAAUGACCCCCGCGAUGCGCCCCUUAGUCCACCGACGGCAAAAAGCCUUGUCCUAUAAAUAGGACACUUGAACUUGUUGUUACGGACUUUUUGACGUCUUUGGACUUAGAUAGAGGAUGCUAAACAAUUAUUUUGGGUUUAUUUCUCCUUACUUAAGCUUUUUAAUGGAAUAUAUCAUGUAUUCAAGAAUCUUAAUUAACGGUUAUGUUUAUUAGUGGCUAAACACCCCCUUUCCAGGGUUAAGGCCAAGAACAUGUUUACUUUUGCUUUGAAAUGAGUUUUUUUUGGAUUUCUUAUCAUAUUUGGAUGUUUUUUAUCCUUGUUUUAACUACUAAAAGGAGUAUCUAACCUUAGAAUAUAUAUAUUAUCAGCCUUGUGAUCUCGAGAGAGGGAAUAGGAAGAUAGGAUGUGGUGAUAAAUAGAGCAAGGCUCUUAUUCUUUUAUAAAAUAAGAAAUUUGAAUUAGCAUCUAGGAUAGGGAUAUAACUAGAUACCUUGUUUGGUUCAUAUGUAGGUUGAUAGAUUCAUGCAUCUAAUUGGAUUAUUAAAUCCCCUCUCAACGAUGUAGUUGUAAUGUCCAGUUAGGUAGAAGGUUAGAGGACGAGAGGCCAUAAUCAUACAAUAAAUCCUAUGAAUCAACAACCAAGAUAAGUAAUCUAACAAAUUAAGUUCAAUAGCAUAGUAUAUUUGUUCUUAGUGCUUUAACCCCAGAUUUUCAUCCAUUGGUUGUCCAAAUCUUUACUUUUACGUACUGUUUACAUUACUUUUAGUUUAUAAACUUUCAAAACUAUCUUGGUUACCUUUGCACCACUUUAAUCUUAAUAAGUUGAACUAGAAUAGGAUAGUUGUUAACAAAACUCUCUGACGGAUUGAUAUUCGUCUUUAUUUAAGGCCACUAUAUUACUUGGUUAGACCAUGUACACUUGAGUGUGCGCUUGGAGGCAACAAGUUUUUGACGCCGUUGUCGGGGACUUAUAAUUGGGCAACUAUUUUAUUUUUAGUUAGCUAUAUUGAAUUGUACAUAGUUUAGUUGUUUUUUCUUUUUAUUUCCUUUAUUUCUGUUAUCACACUUCUUGCUAUGGCAGCCUGAGAUAGAUGAUUUAUGAGGGAUGACGAUUCUUUUUGUUUUUGUGGAGGACCCCACCAAGAGGCUUUUUGUCUAUAUUUUAAUGGAAGCGCUUGGAAGGGACAUGCUUGUUUACAACCUUUAGAGAAAACCUCAAGUUGAUGUGUGGUUUGUGGCAAUAUGUAUCACUCUGCAGAUAUCUUUGGUACUAAUCCUAAUUUAUUCAUGUUUGUGGGCGUUGCUCAAAAUACAACUAAGGAGGUAGAUGAAGAGUUGACUCCUUAACCAGUUAUAUACAAAGUUGCUGAUAAUUCGAGGAAGUCUGAGUACUCGAAACAUAAAGUUGCUAAAGAGGUUAAGAAGAUACCACAACCACCAUCUCUGUAGAGAUUAAGUAAAGCAAAGGAGGAUACUAGCUAAUGUGUGGAGAAGACAUAAGAAUCAUAGCCAUUCAUUUGUUAUCUAUCUCUUGAGACUAAAAUUGAGAAGGUGAAUAAGAGUGAGUGUAUCGUGGAUUGUUUAAAUUUUUGAAGUGGGAUUGAUUGGGUCUCACUUAAAGCACUUUUCUACGUUAUGUUUAGAUUAUGUCUAGUCUGUGGAAUCAUCUAAAAUAGUGGGAAAGUGUGAGGAUGAGGAAUAAGAAUCCUAUAUUCCUUAUUUUGCACCAGUUAAGCAACAUAAAAACACACCUCACUUCAAGUACGAGUGGUUUACAAUGAACCAUCCAUUACUUGGUUCCUUAAUCUUUUUACCACCACCCUAUGAGUGAAGUAAAAAGAUGGAUGUGAAGUUGGGGGUGAAAUUCAUAUCCUCAAAGUGGAGGAAAAAGUUGAUUCGGUCAUGCCGUGACAUUAAAUCAGGCAUUGCUUGGGAGACAAUCCAAGUUAAGGUAUGUUUUGUUUUCAAUAUUUUUAGUUUUUACAUUAAAUCAGGCACUCCUUGGGAGUCGCAGGUUGAUAGGAGUCUGAAUACUGGAAAAUCUGAGCUAAGGAGCAUGGUAAAGACUGAGUGUGGGGUCCCCAGAACCCCUUAAUGCAAGAAGAUGCUACAAGCUAGGCCUAGAGGCCUCAGGGAUUAUUUCUAGGGAAAAAGGUCAAAAAUACCCUUCUACUCUGAAAAUUGGCUACCUUUACCCCCAGUCAUACUUUGGGGUCAUAUUUACCCCCGCCGUUAAGAAAGUUAUCAAAAAUACCCCUCUUUUUAACACUUUUCUAUCAUGGCAAAAUCAUAGCCAUGUGGCAUGACAUUUGGAGUGAGAUGGAUGCCACAUGGCAUGCCACCUUAAUGUCAUACCUUUUGUUUUAGAUAAUUUUAAAUUUUUUUCUUUAAGUUUUAUUAAUUAUUUAAUUUUAUUAAUUUUAAAAAAUAUUCAAAACAACCAACUCAAAUUGAAGCUCACCGAAAACAAAUAUUGGAGUGCUUGCGCAUCACUAGAGUAGUUGGUUAAGAACUGGAAAGGAAAAUACAAAAACAUUACAAGGUAUUACUAUACAAUCUAACCUUGUGCUUGACUUUUGACAUCACAAUUCAAUGGAAUGGUGUGUAUAUCUGUGUACCUAACUAUCUGGCAAGUAUUGCAAUAGUAAUGUAUCUUUUCUUAGGCUUGAUUUUUAACAAUUCGUUCAACUGAGUGAUGUGCCUUUAUUCAGUGUACAUAAAGAAAAUACAGUUCAAAUAAUUAUUGGGCAUUCAUUAUGAUGUAGUGAAUAGAGGGCAACAUGCUGUAGAGUAUUGAAAGAUAUUUAGAGGUCAAUUUUAAAGCUUGGCAAUUGCAUAUGGAGGCAACUUUAGGUCUUUCCAAUCUUCAUCAUCCAUCUUGGAGAAGUAACGAUCAACAUCACUAUCUCUAAUUAGUUCCAGUCUGGAUGGCUCCCACUAAAAACAUGUAAAAAGAGGAGCACAAGAAUGAAAGAAGCUUUCAAUAUCUUAGAUCAGGAUUAUCCGUGAUCAAAUGAAAAUAAUGCACCUUAGGAUCUUGUUGUUCAGUUCAAAAUAAUAAUUUAAUUGUUACUAAUUAAAAUGUUAUUUUGAAUAUUUUUAAAAAAAUUAAUAAAAUUAAAUUAUUAAUAAAACUUAAAGAAAAAAUUUAAAAUUAAAAAAAAGUAUGAUGUUGAGGUGGCAUGUCACGUGGCAUCCAUCUCACACAAAAUAUCAUGCCACGUGGCUAUGAUCUUGCCAUGGUGGAAAAGUGUUAAAAAGGAGGUAUUUUUGAUAACUUUCUUAACAGUGGGGGUAAAUAUGACCCAAAAGUAUGACUGAGGAUAAAGUUGCCCAAUUUCUCAAUGUAGAAGGGUAUUUUUGACCCUUUUUUCUUAUUUCUAUCUCUACCUUUACUGUGCACUUUGGGGACAAAUUAUAUUUUUAAGUAUGGAGUUAGGAAAUUCCCAUUUUUAGGGUAAUUUUUAAAAAAAAAAUUGUUUUAGGAAUAAGUGAGAUGUUCGUGUUGGUGCUAUAUUUGGCUGCAUGAUGCAAGUGUUUUGGUUGUAAAAGCAUGUUGAUUGUGUGAAUUACUACUUUUGAGACUACUAGGCUCAUGUUUAUGACUCCUUUAGUUGUUGGCUUAAUAUGAAUUCAUGUGAUUGUUUGGUUAAAAGUCUAUGAUAAUCCUACUUGAGUUAAGCAUGUGCCAUGUGUGAUGUAAGGUUGUUGUAUAUUCCAUGUUGCAUUUGGUGCUAGAACUUGUGUGGUGUGUGUACAAAGCAAAAUUAAAAGUGUGAGUUUAGGAGAAGAUAUAGGCAUUUCUUUGAUAGCCAAGUUUAUACCUUCUUUUUACCUACCCUUGUGCAUAAUCCUAGUUAGCCCCAUUGAGCCUUUCGCUUAUUCUUUGGAAGCCUCAUAUGUAGCCUAAUCCCUUUUUUGAUUGACAUUAAUUUGAUCCAAAGAUCCUAAUGGCUUUAGUUUAUAAUUAAUUGAGUGAGGGACUGGAAAUUCAAGUAGGAGAAAGGUGAAAGUGAAUCCCCUAAGUAAUAGUUGUUGGUGUUUAAAAGAAAAUUAUAUGUGCUGUGAUUGGGAGUUGAAUAAUGUAAAGAGUAAAAAAAAUUGUUCAAAUUGAAAAAGUUGUGUAUAUAGAGGACUCCCACCAUAGUGUAUAUAAGUGAGCUUAAUGAGAUGGGGCAAAAAUGAAAGAAUAGGGUAGACAAAAGGGGUGUAAAGUGGUUAUUAAACGUGAGCUGAAUGACAUGUGUGAUGUAUUAAAGUGCUUAGGGAAGAUAGUCACUAUUCUUGGACAAAAUAGUUCCUACCCAUCCCUUAGCUUACAUUACAACCAUUAAAGAACUAUUUGAUUUAAGCUUCAACAUUCUUCUAUUAGUGAAGUACUAAACUCAAGGAAAGCCUAUGGUUCAUCUUUUGUAACUUGUGAAUUCCUUGUGAGAGUAAGAGUAACUUAAUUUUUGUACCCAUUCUGUUAUAAAUUGCAUUUAUGUGAGUGAUUUGGGUAACUCUGUUAUGUUGAGGAAACAUGUUUGAUGAUAGUGAGGUGAUUUGUAUGAUUUCUGUGACUGAACAAUAUGUAUGAGUUUUCCAACUUAGUGAGUCAAUUCUUGAGGCUAGGAUGUUUUGAAGUAGUGUUCUUAAACUCUCAAUUGUGUACAUAACAUGCUUAUUGUAGUAACUUGCAUUGUGUGUAGUCAUCAUAGUACUAUCUUAAGUGUCUUACAUGUGGUAGAAGUGUAGUCACCUCAGCUUAUAAUGCUAAUAGUGAAGAUUUGUUCGAGGACGAAUAAAGCUUUAAGUAUGAGGUGGAUUUAUGCACCUUAGUGUUGUAUUCUAGCUUAAUUAGCCUUGUUUUGAGGACUUAUUAUUUGAUUAAUGUGUUAAUGAUGAUAUAAUUAAACAUAUGAGUGUUUAAGUAUGUGAUUACAAUGUUAAAGGUGUCUUUCGAAUAAGUUUGUACUUAAUUUGGUCACUUAGAGUUUCAACAAGAAAACUAGUGUUACCAGAUUAAGCUAGGUGUUAUUCUAGCCUAUUACGAUGGAUUCUAAUGUGUUUAAUUAUUUCCUAAGGUUUUUAUUAUGUAAUUAUGUGUGUAACAACUUUUUAAAAUGUACAAGGGUCAAUUUAAUCAAUCCAAGAGUCAAAACAAUAAGUUAAAGAUCAACGUGCUAGUUCGUCGUUAAGGAUGUUGUGUUGUUUUGAGCUUUAAUCCAUGGUGUUUGAUGUUAUAGGAUUAUUAGUGAGUUGAUUAUUAUGAUAUAUGAAUUAUAUAAAAUCUGUAAAUAAAGUGGAAACAACACCACAAGGUUGAUAAUGUAUCAACGGAAACACAAGACAUGACUUGGCGUAAAAUUUGACACGUUGGAUGUCACUAGUGUGUGUAGGACCUUGGAAAUGGAUUUGGGGUGCGUGCUAUGCAUAGGGAUCUUCCUUAGGGACCUAUAAUAGUGUCCCAUUUCUAUUAUCCCACUUCGCGAGCCCCAUACCAGCGGAAUGACCACAACGAUGCGUCCUUUGUUCCACCGACGGCAAAAAGCCUUGUCCUAUAAAUCGAACACUUGAACUUGUUGUUAUGGACUUUUGGACGUCUUUUGACUUUGAGAGGGGCUGGUAAACACUUAUUUUAGGGUUUAUUUCUCUUUAAUAUAGAUUUUUAAGGGAUUAUAUCAUGUAUUCAAGAAUCUUGAUUACUGUUAUGUGUAUUAAGAGCUAAACGUCCCCUUUCUGGGGUUAAGGCCAAGAACAUGUUUAAUUUUGCUUUGAAUUGACUUUUUAUGGACAGCUUAUCAUGUUUGGAUCUUUUUUAUCCUUGUUUUAACUAUUUUAAGGAGUAUAUAACCUUAGAAUACAUAUAUUGUCUAUCUUGUGAUCUCGGGAGGGGGAAUAGAAAGAUAGAACGUGGGGAUAAAUAGAGCAAGGUUCUUAUUCUUUUAUAAAAUAAAGAAUUUGAAUUAGCAUCUAGGAUAGGGACAUACCUAGAAUCCUUACUCUAUUUACAUGUAGUAUGAUAGCUUCAUGCAUUUAAUUGGAUUAUUAUUUCUCCGCUCAACGAUGUAGUUGUAAUGUCCAGUUAGGUAGAAGGUUAGAGGUUCAGAGACCAUGAUCAUACUAUGAACCCUACUAAUCAACAACUAGAAUUGGAUCCGUCAGGACUGUAGCGUAGUAUGAUUGUUCUUAGUGCUUUAACCCCAGGUUUUCAUCCAUUAAUUAUCCAAAGUCUUUACUUUUAUGUACUUUUUAUUUUACUUUUAGUUUAUAAACUUUCAAAACUAUCUUGGUUACCUUUACACCAUUUUAAUCUUAAUAAGUUGAACUAGAAUAGGAUAGUUGUUAACACAAGUCUUAGAGGGAUUGAUAUCCAGUUUUUUUUAAGGUCACUGUAUUACUUGGUAAGACCACGUACACUUGCAUGUGCGCUUGGGUGCAACAACUAACUUCAACUUCGGUUUUGACUUUGCCUGAGGUCACUGAGGUGUUUGUGGUCUAUUAUGAUAUAUCCCGUGUGGGACUUCACUACGUCUUGAUGCAGCAUAGAAAGGUGAUAAAUUAUGCCUUUAGACAGUUAAAGGUGCAUGAGAAGAAUUAUCCAACUCAUGACUUAGAACUAUUAGUUGUGGUAUUUGCAUUGAAAAUCUGGCGUCACUAUCUAUAUGGAGUGGAUAUGGAUAUCUUUCCUGAUCGUAAGAGCCUGCAGUUUGUAUUUACUCACAAAGAGCUUAACCCAGGCAGAAGAGAUAGCUUGAGCUUCAUAAGAAUUAUGACAUGGGUUUUCACUACGAUCCAGAUAAAUCUAAUGUAGUUGUUGAUGCUCUUAGUAGGUUGUCCAUAGGGAGUUUAGCUCAUGUGGAUAACAAAAAGUGGGAGCUAGUAAAGGAUAUUCACCAUUUUUCUAAUCUUGGAGUUUAUCUCUUGGUCUCCGAGGAUGGAGGUGUGUUCAUUUGGGAAGUGGUGCAGUCACUUCUUGGUGCUGAAAUCAAGAAGAAUCAAGUGUUAGAUCCUAUACUGAUGAGGAUCACGAGUGACAUUGGUAGGCAGAAGGUGAUGGCUUUCGAGAUUAGUGGUGAUGGUACUUUGUGGUACCAAGAGAGGUUAUGUGUUCCUGAUGUAGAUGGUUUCCAAUAAAUAAUCUUGGCUGAGGAGCAUGAGUCACGCUAUUUUGUACAUCUUGGUAGAACUAUUAGUUGUGGUAUUUGCAUUGAAAAUCUGGCGUCACUAUCUAUAUGGAGUGGAUAUGGAUAUCUUUCCUGAUCGUAAGAGCCUGCAGUUUGUAUUUACUCACAAAGAGCUUAACCCAGGCAGAAGAGAUAGCUUGAGCUUCAUAAGAAUUAUGACAUGGGUUUUCACUACGAUCCAGAUAAAUCUAAUGUAGUUGUUGAUGCUCUUAGUAGGUUGUCCAUAGGGAGUUUAGCUCAUGUGGAUAACAAAAAGUGGGAGCUAGUAAAGGAUAUUCACCAUUUUUCUAAUCUUGGAGUUUAUCUCUUGGUCUCCGAGGAUGGAGGUGUGUUCAUUUGGGAAGUGGUGCAGUCACUUCUUGGUGCUGAAAUCAAGAAGAAUCAAGUGUUAGAUCCUAUACUGAUGAGGAUCACGAGUGACAUUGGUAGGCAGAAGGUGAUGGCUUUCGAGAUUAGUGGUGAUGGUACUUUGUGGUACCAAGAGAGGUUAUGUGUUCCUGAUGUAGAUGGUUUCCAAUAAAUAAUCUUGGCUGAGGAGCAUGAGUCACGCUAUUUUGUACAUCUUGGUUCAACGAAAAUGUAUCAUGACCUAAGGAGAUGUAUUAGUGGAACACUAUGAAAAGGGACAUGACUAAUUUUGUGGCCAAGUGCAUGGUGUGUCAACAAGUGAAAGUUAAGCAAAAGAUACUCGGAGGAUUGUAUCAAGAAAUUGAGCUGUGUGAAUGGAAGUGGGACAUUAGUCGAACCAGGAUGGCAGUUGCCUUGUUCAUAAUGCAUUCAUUUAGACAUUUUGUCAAAUACUUGAGAGGCAUGAACUUGUACAUGAAUGGGACCACAUGAUAAUAUGUCAUGAUUUCACUAGUCGAUUUACAUAGGCAUUCAAUCAAACACUUAGGGGGCAUAAUUAAUGUACACAAUAAUGGUCAACAUAUAAGCAUUAUGAAUACAACACUCAACUUGAAAAUUUCAAGGGUUUAACAUGAGGAUCACAUAAUUCAACACAAAUACUAUCUUAAUUUUAUGAAACUUGAAGUUAAUCAUGGGUUGAAACCCAAACAACAUCAUGAACAUGAGUACAAUCUAAUUCAAGAAUGGAAAUCACAAAUCUGAAAACUUGUAUUUUUAAAAAGGGUUCUUGGACUCCAUGGGUGGAAGGGCCAAUGGAUAAACACCUAACACACUAGAGAAGAUGUGUUCUUGAAGUUUCAUGGUAGAUUUCUUGAGAAUUGCUCUUGAUUCUUGGAGGCUAGGUUUUUCUAUUUUGAGAGAGAAUAAUCUUGAUUUGAGAGGAAUUGAGUAAAUAAUCUAAUAAGGUUAUUAGGGUAUUAAUCCCCCUAUUUAGGCUGCUUAGGGUCACAAAAAAGACCAAACAACCCCUGGAAUAAUUUAAAUUUUUGUCAUUAAAAUUCCCAAUUUUGGCCUUCACCGCGAUGUGGUGGCAUCACGAUGAGCCACUGGAAGUUUGGAUGGAACUGUUUAAAACCGAACAUUUACAAAACUGAACCUCGGCGUGAUGCGGUGGAAUCAUAUUGCAUCACUUGAAAUUAACAAUUCUGAACUGGAACUAUGGCGCGACACGGCGCCAUCAUGGUAACACACAUGAAAAGGACGAGUAUGAACUAGAACUAUGGAGCGAUGCGAUGGAAUCAUGGUGUUUCACUGGAAACUGAUGAAUACCAUUUGGCCAGUCACUGCAACACGAUGAUAUCGCAGAGCCUGACUCCCAAAACUAAAAUCGCCAUAACUUUUUUACGGGAUUAUCGAAUUAUGGCAAAUUUUAUAUCGUUCGAUAGCUGAUUGAAUUUCCUAUACAAUGGUGGGUCUUAAACUGAAAAAUUUUAAGAAUUUUGAAAGUUUUAUGUAGGAAUUCUCAUGUACUGAGAGCUAAACUUAGCUAGGAAAAUAUGGGGUAUUACAACAUCUCCGCCUAACCAAGCUCGAACCACCUAAUAGGAGACCUAUACCUACUACCAUAUAAUGCUUCAAAUAGAGCCAUACCAAUACUAUAGCUAUUGUUGUAAACAAACUCUAUAAGAGGUAAGUACUCAAUCCAAUUACCAUCAUAUUCAAUCACACACGCACGAAACAUGUCUUCCAAUGUCAGAAUAGUCUUUUCUGAUUGCCCAUCCAGCUGCGAGUGAAAAGUUGUACUAAGACUAACCUUAGUCUUCAAGCCUUUCUAGAAUGACAGCCAAAAAAGAGAUGAAAAUUGUUUCCUUUGAUAAGAAAUGGUAGAAACAGGUACCCCAUGCAACUUCAAAAACUUCUAGAGGAACAACCUCACAUAAUCCUCAUCCGAGAAGUUAGUCCUCACUGGAAAAAAGUGAGCCAACCUAUCAAAUUGAUUUCGAGAUCGAGGAAGACCAGUAACAAAAUCCAUGUUGAUCACUUCCCACUUCUAUUCAGGAAACUAAAUUUCUUGAUACAAUCCUCUGGGUCUCUUGUGCUUAACUUUCACUAGUUGACACACCAUGCACUUGGCCAUAAAAUUAGCCACGUCCCUCUUCAUAUUGUUCUACCAAUACAUCUUCUUACGUCAUGAUACACUUUCAUCAAACCAGGAUAUACAAAAUAGCAUGACUCAUGCUCCUCAUCCAAGAUUCUUUAUCACAAACCAUCUACAUCAGGAACACAUAACCUCUCUUGGUACCACAAAGUUCUAUUACCACUAAUCUCGAAGGCCAUCACCUUCUGCCCACCAAUGUCACCCUUGAUCCUCAUCAGUACAGAAUCUAACACUUAUUUCUCCUUGAUUUCAACACCAAGAUACGACUGCGCCACUUCCCAAAUGAACACACCACCAUCCUCGGAGUCCAAGAGACAAACUCAAAGAUUAGACAAAUGGAGAAUAUUCUUCACUAGCUCCUACUUUUCCUUAUCUACAUGAGCUAGAUUCCCCAUGGAAAACCUACUAAGAGCAUCAACAACCAUAUUAACCUUACCAGGAUCAUAGUGAAAACCCAUCAUAAUCCUUGAGAAGCUCAAGCCAUCUCCUCUACUUAAGGUUAAGCUCUUUCUGAGUAAAUACAUACUGCAGGCUCUUAUGAUCAAGAAAGAUAUCUAUAUGCACUCCAUAUAGAUAGUGAUGCCAAAUUUUCAAUGAAAACUCCACAAAUAAUAGUUUCAAGUCAUGAUUGGAUAAUUUAUCUCAUGCACCUUCAACUGUCUAGAGGCAUAAGUUAUCACGUUUCCAUGCUUUAUCAAGAAAAAUCCAAGUCCCAUACGAGAUGUAUAGUAGUAGACCACAAAUACCUCAAUGACCUCAGGCAAAGUCAAAACCAAAGUUGAAGUUAGUUGUUGUGCCCAAGCGCACACGCAAGUGUACGUGGUCUUACCAAGUAAUACAGUGACCUUAAAAAAAAGCCGAAUAUCGAUCCCUCAGAGACUUGUGUUAACAACUAUCCUAUUCUGGUUUAACUUAUUAAGAUUAAAGUGGUACAAAGGUAACCAAGAUAGUUUUGAAAUUUAAUAAACUAAAAGAAAAAUAAACAGCGCAUAAAAGUAAAGACUUUGGACAAUUAAUGGAUGAAAACCCAGGGUUAAAGCACUAAGAACAAUCAUAUUACGCUAUUUAGCUUUAUUUAUUAGAUUACUUAUCUUGGUUGUUGAUUGGUAGGGUUCAUAGUAUGACCAUGGUCUCUCAACCUCUAACAUUAUACCUAACUGGACAUUACAACUACAUUGUUGAGCGGGGAUGUACUAAUCCAAUUAGAUGCAUAAAGCUAUCAUACUACAUGUGAACCAAGAAAGGAUUCUAGGUAUAACACUAUCCUAGAUGCUAAUUCAAAUUCUUUAUUUUAUAAAAGAAUAAGAACCUUGCUUAUUUAUCCCCAUGUUCUAUCUUUUUAUUCCUUCUCCUGAGAUCACAAGAUCGACAAUAUAUGUAUUCUAAGGUUAUAUACUUCUUAAAAUAGUUAAAAAAAAAUGAUAAGCAAAUAUCCAAACAUGAUAAGUAAUCCAUAAAAAAUCAAUUCAAAGCGAGAUUAAACAUUUUCUUGGCCUUAACCCCAAAAAGGGGGCGUUUAGCUACUAAUAGACAUAACUGUAAUCAAGAUUCUUGAAUACAUGAUAUAAUCCAUUAAAAAGCUAAAUUAAAGAGAAAUAAACCCUAAAAUAAGUGUUUAUCAGACCCUGUCAAUGUCAAAAGACAUCCAAAAAUCCAUAACAACAAGUUUAAGUGUUCGAUUUAUAGGACAAGGUUUUUCACCGUCGGUGGACCAAGGGGCGGGUCUGGGGGUCAUUCCGCUGGGAUGGAGCCCGUGAUGUGGGCUCAUAUAAAGGGGACACUAUUAUAGGUCCCUUAGGAAGCUCCCUAUGCAUAUCACGUACCCCAAAUCUAUUUCCAAGGUCCUACACACGCUGGUGACAUCCGACUUGUCAAAUUUUAAGCUGAGUCAUGUCUUGUGCUUUCAUUGAUACAUUACCAACCUUGUGGUGUUGUUUUUACUUUAUUUAUAGAUUUUAUAUAAUUCAUAUAUGAUAAUAAUCAACUCACUAAGAAUCCUAUAACAUCAAACACCAUGGAUUAAAGCUCAAAAUAACACAACAUCCAUAAUGAUGAACUAGCACAUUGAUCUUUAACUUAUUAUUUUGACUCUUGUAUUGAUUUAAUUGACCCUUGUACAUUUUAAACAAGUUGUUACACACAUAUUUACAUAAUAAAAACCUUUGGAACUCAUUAAACACUAUAGAAUCCAUUAGAACUAUUAAACAUGUUAGAUGAUUACCUUCCACAAUUUUAGUUUCAGUCUUUAGCAUAGAACUUAGCUUAGUUCUACAGAAUCAGGACUGUCAGUUAACAGUCACUCAGUUAUUAGUAAUUAAUUUAUCAGUUACUCAGAUAUCAGUUACAUAAUUAUCAUAACUCAGUACUCAGUUUUAGUAUAAUCUCAGAUAUAAUACACAUGUAAAUACAUAGUAUUCCAUACUCAGUAUGUACAACAGUUUUAGCUAUCUAUGUACUCUGAUUCAAUUACUUCAUAUCAUUUAUCCAGUUACUGUUCAUACACAUGAGCCCAUGUAUAUUAGCCUUAACUUAUCUAGCAUACCAGUACAUUUCACGUACUGAUUGCAUACUGUCUUUUGCGCUAUGAUGUCUCAUAUCAUAGGUUCAGAGGCUCAAGUUUCGGACUGCACUUAGCCAUAUUCAGUUAGAAGUAGCAGUUUCAGUGGUGAGUCCUCAUAUUUUAAAGACAGAGCUACUAUUUUAGUAUUUUAGUAGAUUCAGCAAUUCCUUAAAAGAAGUUAUUUGGGGGCUUAUCCCAUCAACUUCAUAUUUUGAUAAUUCAUUUAGAGACUUUUCAGACUAGACUAGUUCAGACAGUAUUCAAUUUUUAGAUGCUAUUAUUAGUUGCUAUAUUUAUCAGUAUUCAUAUUAUGAAUCUUAUGGCAUUUUAGCCUAACGUAUGCAUUAUUUUAGUAUUAAUAUUCAGUGCUCAUAAUAGGUACCAGUCAUGGGUUUGCUUGUCGUCCUUCAGGGUCGUAAGUACUGUGUUGGGGUGCAGACUUAAGCCGUUAUAGAUGUUUGGCCCGUAUUUAGUUCACCAAGCUAUGCUAAAGGUUAAGGUUAUUUGGGAUAGGCUUAGGUCUGCCCAUAGUUGGUAAAAUUCUCAUUUGAACAUGAGGCAAAGAGACUUGAAGUUUGAGGUUGCAGAUAAGGAGUUCCUGAAAGGGUCUCCCAUGAAGGGAGUGAUGCGAUUUGGGAAAAAGGGGAAACUCCGAUAUGUAGGUCCUUAUAUUAUAUUAUGGAGGGUUGGUAAUAUAACAUAUGAGUUGGGAUUGCCUUCUAGUUUUAGCUCUAUUCACCCAGUAUUCCAUGUAUCUAUGUUGAGAAAGUGUAUUAGUGAUCCAUUUCAUGUUGUGCCUAUCAAGGAUAUUGGUAUUUCAGAUUUUCUAUCUUAUGAAAAGAUCUUGGAUCGUUAGGUUCAUCGAAUGCAAAAUAAGGAUGUGGCCAUAAUAAAGGUUCUAUGGAGGAACCACAAGAAGGAAGAGGCUACAUGGGAAGUUAAAGAGGACAUGAAGUUCAAGUAUCCGCUCCUAUUUUCUUCUCCGAAAGUUCAUGAGAAAGUUAUGUGUUCUUUACAAUGUCUUUGUUUUUAAACAUUGUUAAAGAAAAGAUUGAUUUCUUGGUAUUCUAUUUUCCAUCUUAAAGGUAAGGGUAGAGACAUUUGGGGGUUAAAAUCAUUCUAGUACUACCUCGUUCCAUUAUUCGAGGUUAAAUGAUCUAAGUGGGGGAGAAUUGAAAAAACCUGAGUUAUGACCCUUACAAAUUUCCCAAGUUUGACCUUUUGGACAUUAUAUGACUUGAAGAUACUUGUUGUAUAAUGUGGGUAUGGUUUAGGGUCCUCAACUCAUAUGAUAAUCAUGUGGUUUGGUUGGUUUCUGUCCAAGGUAUGAAUGGAUUUCAUAAGGGUCGUAUAGAUAUGGUACGAGUGGUAUAGUCUAAUUCGUAUGUUUUCCAGUGUGUAAUCCCUUUGAUUCUAUCUUGGAUACGGUUUGAAGGUACUAGUCAUAUGGUAUGGGUACGACUUAGUUAAGAGGAGGCGUAUGGUGGAUAUUAUAUGAUGUCCAACGUACGAGUAGUGGAUACCACUCAUAUAUUGUGGAUAAUUUUGGGGGUGGUGGAGUUUUACCCACCCGCUGGAUUAUUACAGUUUAAGUUAGGGGUAUUUUGGACAUUUCCCCUCUUAACCUCUGCUGACCCCACGACUUAAAAUACUAUUAGGACUUCAUUUACCCUAUUCUUCUCAAUCAAAAACACUUUAAACACUCUCAAGGCUCUUGGUUCAGAAAAAGUUUAGGGCUUCUUCAGUGCAAUCAAUUCGGGGCUUACAAAGGUGGUUUCUCUCUGUACUCUUUGGUAUCUAAGGCAUGUUACUCCUCCCUCAUUGUUUACUCAAACUAAAAGCAUGUUUUCAUGUAUGGUUUUCAUGGUAUUGAUGUUGUAUUAUUUUUUUUAAUUAUGUUGAGGCUUUUGGUUGUUCUUGGUUGGAUAAUGUUUUCCUAUGUUUUAAUUAUUAUUUUCAUGUUAUAUUUAUGGUUUUGAACACAUGGUUGCAUAGGAAUGGUUAAUUGGUACUUGGUUUUGGCUUUGGAAACUAUAUUCCCUCAACAUGUUAAGUGCCUAUGAGAAUGCUUGUCACAUAGCUUGGCUUUUAUGAAAAACUUUGUAUUGCGUGAUAUGGUAAUGGAACUUACAGUAGGUUUAAAUGGUUAAAUGUUAAAGCCUUGGUGGCCAUGGAUUUGUUUUAACUAAAAAACCUUGUGGGGUACAUGAAAAUCCCCCAAGUGAUUUUAAUAAUGGAAACUAUGGGGUACAUGAGAAUCCCCUAAGUAUUGGCUAAUGACAUUGCUUGCAAGCUAUAGUCGAUAUGACGAUACCACUUCAUAAUGGCCUUGGUUAUUAAUACAUGGAAUUAGUGGUUUGGUUAUGUGCUAAAGGUUUUAAUUGGGAGAUAAUGGCAGGUUGUGAUAGCUAACCAUGAAGGUGUAGGUGCAAUAGAUGGAUAUUAAAAACUCAUGUUUGCCAACAUGGGGGUUGGCCAUGGUGACCAUAUGUUUGUUGGGUUCCCAAGAAUCCCCUAAGUUAUGCUUGUAUAUAUGUAUCACGAUGGGUGAAGAGUACACGGGAAUCCCCAACCAUUAUGAUAUCUCUUGUUCAUGUGGCUACACGUACUGGGGCCUGUUCAUGGGGGAACACUGGACCCACAUAGCUCGUGGGUGGUUUUAGGAUAGUCAAGCAACACAACCAGGUUAAAGAUUUAAAUUCAUGCUAAACCAAGUUCCCUUUCCCGACAAGGAAUAUAUAUAUAUAUAUAUGGAUGGAUGUGAUUGCAUAUGAUUAUUUACUUGGUUUCAAAUGUUGACAUUAUUUUAUCCUUACUCCUGAGUACAUGCUAUCAUUCACCCGCUAAUCCAUCUUAAAGUGUUGUAUCCCUACGUGAUGCAGAAGCCUGCCAUACUACUCCUCCUACUCAUUGAUCUUGGAUUCGGGGACAACUUAGAGUCGGAUUGAAAUGGUGAGAUUCCAUACUCUAGAAGGCUUUAUUUCAUGUUAUGGAUUUCUCUACAUUACUUCCAUGCUUUUAUUAUUUCUUAGGCUUUGGUUUUUGGUUCUGGUCAGGGGCAUGUCCCGACCUGAUGUUGUUUUGAUUUUGGAUAGAGGCUUUGUAAGACUAAUUUGGGUUGGCAUAGGCAUUGUCGAUAUUGGUGUUAGCCUUGUCAUUGGUAUUGGUAUUGGGGAAGACAAUGUUUGACUGUAUUUGAUUUUGAUUGUUCCAUAUUGUUAUGUUAUAUUAUUUAGAUUCAUCUAACUUAAAGUGUAAGGUGGUAAUGGCUCGGUGCUAGGGGUGGUCUCCGGUCUCGAAUGGGGCUUGAGGCACCCAAUAUGACUACGCCCUGGCUCGGGUUGUUUCAUAAGAGGUGGCCACUGAAGCAGCAAGGGACCACUUAAGUGGUACCUUUACGGGCAUCUAAAUUUCACUAAAGAGACACUAGGUCGCUUAAGAGGUCCAGUAUUUGCUUAAGAGGUACCCGAAUACGUGGGAAGGGUAUAAAAACCCUACUUAACCCGAUUUCUCCCAUUUUUCUUCUAUGUUCAAGUGUGUUGAACCCUAAAAUGUGUGAAAAUUUGGUAGAAUCAUUGGUGGGUGAUUCUGGAUCCCUUGUUGACUUAAAUUACGCAAUUCUUCUUUGAAUUUUUGAUAAGUUUCAUCAAAUUCUAUAAUUAAUUUCUCCAUUUAAUUCAAAAAUACCUAGAAUAUUGGUGGGGUGAUUGUAGCACCAUGUAAUAUCGGAAUUCACCCAUUUUUUAGGAUAAAUGUUCCUUGAUUAUAGAGAGAUGUUUUUUCGGUUUCAAAAGUAAAACUCACAAACGAGCCUCACACAAUAUUUUACAUAAUUUUGGACCCGAAGCACAUUAAUUCAAUAUGGGUAUCAUUGUUCUUGUUUUGAUGAGUAGAUUAUAAUUUUGAUAGCGUGGCAUGUUGCGGAAGCUUCUCAAAAAUUCUUAUUGAGCUUCUUUGGUGUCCAUGUAGGUUAGGUUUACCCUCUUUAUUAUUGAGCUAAUUCGUAGUAUAAUUAUGAUACUAUACUAUAUAUAGGAUGGAAUUUAGGUAUUGGAAGUAUGAUUGGUAUGAUUAGUCUUAUUUGGAUUGUUUAGGCUAUCUUGAAACCGUAAUUUAGGCUUAAUUGACUUAGUUGCUCAUGUUGUAGGUAGAAUUUGUAUCUUAGGAAUAUUUAUAACUUACUUAACAUCUAGAAGUGAGUGUAGAUACCUUAAUCUAGUCUCGGGUAGAAUAUGCCUUAAAAUAGAUUUAGGAGAUUAAAAGUAGGCCCCUCCAACCCAUCUUAUGCAUGGACUUGUAUUAAUACUUGUAGACUUAUAUACUCAUGUUAUGUCACAACUCAAUUUCUCAGGUCAUGAUGGCGCCUACUAUGAUCCACCAUAGGUAAGUCAAACCCAUAGUCCGGAACGACUAGUAAUGGACUACUAAAUAAAUUAAGGAAAGAAUAUGGAAUAAGUAUAACAAAAGUGCAAAUACAUAUAUAAAUCCCAAAACCUGGUGGUAUCAGUACAAGAGCUCUAAUAUAAUAAGGGUAAAAGUGAAAUAUCAAGGAAAAUACACUGAUACAACUUAUCUCGGAGUAUAACAUAUAGACUAGUUUAAUACAUAAGAGGGAGAAAAGUAUUACUCCAAAUGUUGGGAACUCACUCUGUAUAUCUGGACUAUGGCUCCUCCACACAACCCACACAUCAAUGGAGAUAACCCGUACUAUGACCUGUAAGCUGCAGAAGAGUAGUAUGAGUACCAAACGAAUGGUACUCAGCAGGCAACUGCCAACUGAGCUCCACAGAUAAGACAGAUAUAUAAAAUAAUAAACAGAAUGAAAACUACACUCAAGAGUCCAGAAAUCAUAUAACAAGCCGAUGAUAUAAUAAGAAAACCGUAUCAUGUUCAUGUCCAAUAGACCAACAUAAUAAGGUUAACUAAGUAAUAAGGAUGCACUAUCUUAUUCAAGUCAUACUUAGGAAUCUCAAUACUGUACCGUAUAUCCUUAGCCAAUAUAUGAAUAAAGAGUGGAAGAAGAAUAUAUAAUAAUAUAUAAUGCCAAUAACAAAUAUACAAUAUGAACAAAUGAAAGAAGGGAUAUACGGUAUUACCAUAGCUACAUAUAGCUAAAUAUAUAUACGUAUAGUUAUGAGGUCAACUCAAAGCAUAACCUAAGCAUCAUGUGUUCAUUUUAAGACCUCAUUAUGAUCCUAUCAGGAUUUAAUACUAUCAUACUCAGGGUUUCUAAUCCAUAUGGUUAGACAUGAAAUAAUCACGCAUAAUAAUACAAUCGUAAGAUAAAAGAGGCCAAACAUAUAACUUAAAGCUCAAUAUUGAAUUAAUGACCAAUCUGUCAUAAACUAGCCAUAAUAAUGAUCAUCACAAUGAUAAUAACAAUAUCAAUAACAACACAAAUAACUGGUUAUUUUGGACAACUAAAUACUUAGCCAAGCCUAUGCAUACCCCCACCGCCUCAGGCUCGGAAGGUUUAAUCAACAUACAACAACAUAAGGCAUAUUCAUCACCCAUAUCUAUGCAACCAUCCCAUACCAAUUGAUAGACAUAGGCACAUACUGGUGAUAGGUGAUGUGCAUGUAAGAAUGAAUGCAAGGUACAUAAUCAACAUCACAAUCUCAUCAUCAUAACCAUCUCUAUCAUCAUAAUUAACCUUCAGCCUUUUCAGGUAUCAAUAUCAUCAUAGCAGUAUCUUCCAACCUUGCCUGAUAGCAAUAUCAUUAUAACAACAUCCUCCGGCCUUGUCGGGUAUCAAUAUCAUCAUAAUAGUAUCCUCCAUCCUUGAAGGGUAUCAAUAUCAUCUUAACAGUAUCCUCCGCCCUUAAGGGGUAUCAAUAUCAUUAUAACAGUAUCGUUCGGCCUUGUCAGGUGUCAAUAUCAUCAUAACAAUAUCCUCCGACCUUGUCGAGAACUAAUAUCAUCAUAACUCUCAAUACAUAUAUAUAGAUAUAUAAUAGGUGCAUGGACUUAAGCCGUGGUUAAAAGAGCAUAAAUCUGUUAGUUUGUUUCCCAAAAUGAUCUUUGAGACUAAAUCAUUGUACAAAUAUAGAAAAGGUCAGAAUAUCUCACGAUCGGAGUAAAUAAUAGUGGCAAGCCAUGAAUCAGAAUCUGUCUCGGUCAAAUCUUUAAAAUAAUAUUUUUAACCUCUUUUAUACGUAUAAAUAUACCAUUUAGUUAGACAAUUAUUAUAGUAAAGAAAUUCAUUGUUAAGGUGAACAGUGGGUUUUAACCCUUAUUUAGGAAAAAUCGUGAUAAAGUUGUAUUUCAGCUAGGAUCAUAUUAAUACCGAUAUAAUAAUCGUGAAUGUACCAAAUCUAUGUAUGCCAUCACUAGUAUUCAGUUAAUAAAAUCAUAAGCAACAUAAACAUAUAUGUAUCCAUAUUCUACAACCGUUUCCUUUACAAGAAUAAAUACUUCCCGAAUAUCCAACCAAUAUCAUAAUACAUCCCCUGGCCCAAUAAUAUGUUUGGAAUAAUCACAACAUUAUAAUCGCAGCCUUAGGCCCAUAAGAAUAUUUAAAGUUAAUAUUGAUAAUUAUAUUUAUAAGCCAUAGCAUAUCUAUAAUUAUCUCACAUAUAGGAGGUAUCUCACAUCAGGGAGGCAUCUCAAAUCUAGGAGGCAUAAUAUCAAUAAGCAUAUCACCUCUAUUAGACAUCUCAUAUCUAUAGGUCAUACAUCAUGACCAAGCGGAAAAUCAUCUCCAUAAGCCCAAUAAUUAUAAUUAAGAGAAAAAUCAUCUCUAUAGACCAAAUAUCAUAACUAAGGGAAAAAUAUAUCUCUAUGGGCCAAAUAUCAUAACUAAUAGGAAAAUGCAUCUCUAUGGGCCAAAUAUCAUAACUAAGAGAGAAAUGCAACUCUUUGGGCCAACUAUCAUAACUAUGAGAGAAAUGCAUCUCUAUGGGUCAAAUAUCAUAACAAAGGGAAAUGCAUCUCUAUGGGCCAAAUAUCAAAACUAAGAGGGAACUGCAUCUCUAUGGACUAAAUAUUAUAACUAAGAUGAAAAUAUAUCUCUUUGGGUCAAAUAUCAUAACUAAGAUGAAAAUGCAUCUAUAUAUGUGCCAAAUAUGAUAACUAAGAUGAAAAUGCAUCUCUAUGGGCCAAAUAUAAUAACUAAGACGAAAUAACAUCUCUAAAAGAUCAAUACCAUAUCUAAGGAAAAUUAACAUCUCUAUAAUCCAAUAAUCAUGAUCCAAAAAAAAUCAUCUCUACUAGGCCUACUAUCCAUAACUAAGCCCACAAGGGCUAACACAAGUCUUGGCCUAAGUGGGUAGAUGAUCUUACUUAUAAUCCUCAAUCUCCAUAUUUAUGCAAACUACAUGCAAAACUAGACUAAGGUAUCUAGUUCAACUUCUAAAUGUCAAUUAAACCAUAACCAAUCCUAAAAUAGGAAAUUCAUCUAGAAACAUGGGCAAUUAUGUCAAAUUCUAUGCUAAGAUACGGUUUCAAGAUCACUAGACUAGCCCAACCAAGGUCAGUCAGACUAACCAUGAUUACAAAACUUGGACCAUAUCCCAAACCUAGCAUCAUAACAUUUUUAUACUACAAUGUAAUUCAAUCUAGAGAGAAGGCAAUAGAAUUCUAAAAGGGUCAUAGACAUACUAUAUUAUGGGUCCAAAACCCUCAUCCAAUUUCCCAAACACCAUUAAUCAAUACUAGGUUAUUUAUUCAUAAUCAAUCCUAAAAUCCAUAUUAACAUGCCAUACAUAACACACAUUAUCUUCGAAGAAGAGAAGGUAAAAGCCUACCUCAAGGGCGAACCACAAAACCUCACAUCAUGCACUAUAUGCUCGUCUUCACUUCACAAUUUCCAACUGUCAUCAUGAUAUCAAAAAUAUAAUCUAAUCAUCAAUACGAUUCUAAAAAUACCCAUAUUUCAGUAUUGUGCUUCGGAUCCAAAAACAACACCAAAAACCUCAAGUGGGUUCCAAGUACGAAAAUUGCAUUUUCGAGGCCAACCUAAUGCUCAUACAUCACCAAUGAAUCAUAACCCUCAAUUAAUGGGUUCAAACAAAUCAAAUUUAUUGAUAAAUGAAGACCUAAGCUAAAUUGAGAUUUUGGAUCAAAAACUAUGCAAUUCACCAAUAAAGAAAUGAAAUCUUACCUUAAUCCGGAUGAUAAUCAUGAUAAAAGAUGUUUACCAAGCUCCCUAGACUCCCACAAGACUUAAUUUUGAGUUAUCAUAACCAUUUAGGAUUGUAGGCUCUCAAAGAUGAAGGGAAAAUGCCCAAAUUCGCGACUUUAGGGUCUAUUUAUAGACCCCCUCGGCAAAGAGGUACGGUAUCUCUGUGACAGCAAAGUCAAAAACUUAUUAAUAACAUCACUCAAUAGUAAAAUUUGAGUGUAAACCACAUUUCAAAUCCAUUAGAAUCAUUAAAACUUUCAUCCAAGAUCAUUUCGGCAAAAAAUGAGGCCCACAUAUAUAGCUCUACUUUUUCCUAAAAUCCGCUCAAUAGCCCAAAAUAAGUUUAGAAGCCUUGGGAACUAAACCAAGGGUCUUCCUAACCUAAAAUCAAUCUUUUGAAUGUGGUGGAUAAGUUGAAUUUUUAAUCUAAGGUCAUUUCGACCAAAUAUGGAUCCCAUACCCAUAUUUUGAUUUUCUAACUUUCCGACCAAUAGGUCGAAAUGAGCUUGAAUACAUUGGUACCAAAACCAAUGGUCUACCCAAAAUAAAAUCAAUAUUUCAUAUCUGCUGAAACAGUCAAAAUUUUCAUCCGAGAUCAUUUUACCAAAGUUUUUUAUCGAUGGUCAUUUGGAAUCAAUGAAGAUAUCAAAAUAGAAAAUUGACUCUAAAAAUCAAACGAAUUAUUUGGUAACCAAACCGUCAGUCCCAGCAAGUCAUAAAUGACUUGAAAAAGCUAUGGAAGAUAAGUGAAAACAUAGAAAAUAACCGGAAGGGUCAUUACAUGUUAUACCUUUUGAAAUGCUUAUUUUGGGUCUUUUAGGAGAUUAAAUAUUUAAUGAUUAUGCUAAUUUGAUAUAUGAGAGUUGGUGCUAAUUUUGGAUAAAACCCAUUGGUUUAUUGAUAUGAUUUAUUAGUAUGGUUUAUUGAUAUAGUUUAUUGUUAUGAGUUUUGGUUCAAGUCCGCAAUUGAUGAUGAUAUUGAUGAUACGAGUUCGGGUUCAAGUCUGACAAAUGAUGUUAAUACUAUUGAGGAUGUUAUGAUGAUGAUGAUGAUGAUAAUAAUAAUAAUAAUAAUAAUAAUAAUAAUAAUAAUAAUAAUAAUAAUAAUAAUAUGAGUUUUGGUUCAAGUCCGGCAAAUUCUAUAAUGUUGAUACUAUUGUGGAUGUUAUGGUGAUGAUGAUGAUAUAAGUUCUGAUUUGAGUCUGGUAUUAAUAGUUAGCCAAGAUAUGAUAUGGUAUAGAUGGUUUAAUGGCUAUAGAUGAUAUUCGAUAAAGUUAUGGAUCUUUAGUUUUUUGUUUUUCUUUGAUUGUACCCUCAAGCUUAUGUGAGCCCCUAUUGGGUUAUUUAUUUUUCACACUUUCUGACUUAUGAAGGCCAGUUUUGUAGUAUUAAUUAUGCUUUUUUUUUAUUUUAUGUCUGUUCUGAUCACUUAUUUACAGUGUUGGAGCUUAUUUUUAGGUUUUUCCUUUUACCUUGACUUAGCUUAUUUCAUCUUUUAUCUUAUCGUAUUUAUAUCAUGAUUUAGCUCAGUCGGCUGAUGAUGCCUACUGAGUACCCAUAGUUUUGAUACUUAUACUAUAUUUUUGUACCUUUUUUAUGCAGAUCUGAGUACUUAUAGCCAUCACUGAUGUGACGUUCGUGCUGAGUUGAUUUUGAAGAUAGGGUGAUAUCUUGGAGUCGGAGUUGCCAUUUUUCCUUCUAUUAUCUGUGUAUAGUCUUUUAGUUUCUGAGACAGAUUGUAUUAGACUAUUUUCGUACUUAUGUUCCAUUUAUAGUAGCUCUUGUACCGAUACUACUAGGUCGUGGGAUGAUUGUUGAUCUUAUAUCUAUCUAUUAGACUAUUAUGAUUGUCUUAUUGUUAUUAUAAUCCUUUUACUUGUGAUUUUAGACUUUUAGGCCAUUUUCCAACAAAUCAGCCCAUUGUUAAUAGCUCUGAGCUACGAUUUGAAUAACCUACUGGUGAAAUAAAGUCGAUGCCAUCAUGACUCAUAAAUCAGGUCAUGAAAACUGUCACAUGUGAUUCUAGCAUCGUGCAUAGAUAUUUAUGUCAACAAAUAGAAGAAAAAUGAGUAACCUUUCACAUAAAUAUUUAAAAACCAUUUUGAUUGUAGUAAUAUGAGUAUAAAAUUUUUUCAUAAUUUUUAGUAUCUAAAUAAUAAUAAUAAUUAUUUUGUUUGUCAAUUUUCUUGAAACUUAAAAAGUUUCUUUUGUGGAUUCACUACAAUCCCAAUUUCAUGAAGAAUAGUUCUUCAUGUCGUAACAUAUUAGCUUUUUCUCAAAGCUAUCAAAUACAUCUGUGACAAAUUUAUGUAGCCACACAAUAACAUUUAUAUUUGGUCAUGGUCACAACCUUUAUAUGACAUAAUUAUUUCUUUUCUUUUCCAUUUGAUAGUUCAUAAUAGAGCAUGCCAUACCAAAUCUAACAAGAAUUAUUUCUUGCUUUUAUAGUUUGAUAAUCAGAGACGCAAACCUCCCGUAGAGGUGAGUAGUGGUAUUUAUCCAAUCAUAAUCACAUUCUUAUUUUUCAAUUUUAUCACAUAUUGAUACCUUUAAUUUCAAGAAUGGCCUAACAUUUACAUACUUAUCACAUCCCAUAUUCUCUUCAAGGAAUGGAGUAAUAAUUGUACAUACUUCAUAAAUUUUAUUAUAGUCUCAAUGUUAUGUCUUUAUAUUUUCUAUAUUACAUGAUUCACCUCAACAUCACUUUGAAAGAUUAAAUGUACCACCACUUUAUAUUCUUUUAAUGGGGGACUUUUAAUAUUUAUCAAAUUAGGCCGCUUGACAACCGUGUGCCCAAUAUAUACCUUUUAUACCAAAUUGAUGGUAAAUAUUACCUUCACUUUUUAAGGUCCAUUUUAUCAAUCUAUAAUAUUCUUUAUUUUUACCAUAAUUAUGGUUAUUAUAAUUUUGUUCCUUUACAUCCAUAUAUACAAAAAAUAACUUAUUUUUCAGACUUAUUAUUCACUACUACUACAUCCACAUCAAAGAACGGAGCAAAUAAAUGUGUGGCAGAUCUCAUGAUUUUUCAUUGAAAGUUUAUUUUGCCCCCAUCAUUGUUAUGAUCAAUAUAUUUCAUUUGAACUUAAACCUAACAUCUUACCAAUAAAUAAUAUGAUAGGCCAUAAUUCGGUGGGACUUAAACAUCUUAACCAUAAAAGACAUACUAAGCAAUAAUUCAGUGGACUUGAACCCAACAUGGUGCAUCGAGAUUCCAACUUAAUGUCUUAUUCUCUCGGUGUGAUAGGACUUGAAUCUACCAUAUUAUCCUCAACCAAUGGAACAAUAGGCCACAGUGCACUAGGACUCAUGCUUGGUCCAUAGUCAUUAUCAUAUGAUGCAACACAAAGUGUAAUCUGAUGAGUUUAUGCCCUCUUUGCAAUUAUGUAUUUAUAUACUAAGAUAGUGAAAAGUAAAUACCUUUAACAAAGGAAAUUAAGUUGAUGUUUCAUAUUUAUAGUGAGUAACAAGUUAUGCUUUGCCUCAUUCUUCCUAUCCUACAACCAACAAUAAGGCUUCACCAACACUAUUAGUCUCCAAAACAAAAGCAAAAUCAACUAGAACAUGACAAACAAGUAAAUAAUACUUAACAAGAACCCUCAUAUAUGACUAGUUAAAACACCAAAAUAAUUAUAUCUGCUCCUCCAUUAAAGAUAAAGUGUAAAAUUAACUGUUUUUAUCUAGAUCCAUUAGUAUUCCCAGUAAUAUAUAUUUGCAAUUUUAUUAUAUAUGAUUAAUGAAAAUAGUGUAGUCUUUAUAUGUUUAAUUAAUGUCUACCUUAAUAAGGAAACUUCAUGAUUGAUGAAUUUAUCCAAAUCACACAAUAAUAUUUAUCCAAUUCACUAAAUACUUACGUAAAAAAUUUAUGAAGAUAAUAACAUGUCAUAAUAAGCAAUAUUUAAUUUCAUAAACAUACUAACAAUAUAUGUUAAGCGUACAUACAUAGACUAUCUCAUUUAAGGUAUCUUUUAAAAAACAUGCAUGCCUCAUACAGAGACAAGGAUAACCUUUACUUAUAGUGCUUAAAUCUUUGAUGUAUUAAUUUAGCCCAAUAUUUUGACAAGGGAUUGGCUUUAAAUGAGGAUAUUUCGUGCUAAUAAUAUGUUUUUAAACUAAGAGAACAAUAUAAGUAAGAAAAUAGAUAAGAAAUAAUAGCUCAAGAGAAGAGAGUUUUCUAUUCUUUCAAUUGUUCAAGUGUAUCCAUUCCAUACCAUAUGAACCCUCGUGCCUCUAUUUAUAGUGUUACCUAGAGACACAUAAAAUAUUAUCAUAAACAUGAUAUUAAGGAGUAAGAUCAUGGAGGAGGUGAAAGACAUAACAUUUAGGAUUUGAGAUCAUGGAGAAGGUGAAACAUAAUGGUGAAGAAUGGUGGGAAGAUGGAAGGAUCGACAUAUAAAAUGUUGUCAUAAACAUGACAUUAAGGAGUCAGAUCAUGGAGGAGGUAAAAGACAUAACAUUUAGGAUUUGAGAUCAUGGAGGAAGUGAAACAUAAUGGUAAAUAAUGGUGGGAAGAUGGAAGAAUUACAUUAAGUGGACAUCUACAUAAAUAAUAUAUUUUAUAACAAUAAUUUUCAUAAAUUAUAAUUUUGAACCUAUUGUUAGACAAUCAAAUUUCGAGACCGAAAAAUAAUAGUCGAGAUAAAAAAAAUAUUUCAAUAAUAAUUUUAUUAAUUUUAGUAAGUGAGUGCUACAAUCUCUAUGAAUCCUCUGAUUCAUCUUUUCAAAUAUAAAUUCAAGGGCUUCGAGCUUGAUCUUAAAUUUGAACUCAAUUUGCAGAUUUGAUUUGACUUGUACUUAGAUUCAAGGGAUUUUGGGCUUGUUCUUGAAUCUUGUGGUCUUGAUAUUGAAUCUUGAUGAUGAACUGAAUUUGAAUGCUUGAACUUUGUAGAGAAGUUAUAUCUUUUGAUCAACGAGUUCUUUCUUGCUUCUUAUUAGAGUUCUUGGUCCCUUUCUAUGAAUAAUGAGACCUCUAUUUAUAGUUGUGAGAAGUGAAGAGUCAUGGUAAAGAUAGACUUCUUUUGACCAAUCAAAUUUAAGUGACAUGAUGCUUUUUCAUGGACUUUGAUUUCACUAGGCCUGCUGCAUCAUUUUGACAUGUGGCAUGACCUUGUUAGAUCCUUAACUUGACUUGGCAUUCCAUGUCAUUAUAUACAUGGCACUUAUUUAGGCCUCUAAAAUAUGACAAUAUCUUGGGAUUAGCAAAGUGGGCUCAUCAUUUGUAGCCCAAAUCAAUGGGCUAGCCUGAUAAAAAUUGGACAUUAAUUAAAAUCUUACAUAUUUGUUCUUAAAUAAUUAAUCCAAUUAUAUAAAUUCACAAUAUUUAUUUGGAACUAAUAUAUUUUGAAUUUAAUAUAAUUUAAAUUUUGUACGGAUAUUAAUUUAAUAAAAAAAAAUUUGCCCACAAAAUAUUCCCUACUUCAAGGCUGGUCGAGUGUAUAUUUUAGAGACUAGACUUGAAGUAUGAUUAUUUAAACAUGCUUUCUUCGUGCUUCAAAGAUUUUCAUACAUAUGAAUACCCAUUUCAUUAGUUGAGAAAAUUUAAAGUUGAACCAUGUAACUUACAAAUUGAUAUUGCCUCUAAAAAAUUCUCUCUUUUUUAGUCCUGAUUUAUUUCAUCAAUUUCUACACUAUGACCCAUUGGUGAGAUAUGAUAUCCAACUCCAAUAAUGAAUUUCUUAACGAUGUCUACUUCUAGGAUAUAUUGAAUUUGUCAAACUUCAAAUAGAUUUUGGAAAACUUUUUACGGCCUUGCUUAAUCAAGAAUAAAACCCUUCCAAUUUUAAUUUAUAUUGGAGAUGGAAACAACCUUCAAUUUGAAUUCAUAUUGAAGAAUGAAACAACCUCCAAUUUGAAUUUAUAUUGGAGCUGAAAACUCUUCUAAUUGAAUUUAUAUUGGAGAAGGAAACAACCUUCAAUUUGAAUUUAUAUGUAAGAAGGAAACAACCUCCAAUUUGAAUUCAUAUUGGAGAUGAAAACUCUUUCAAUUUAAAUUUAUAUUGAGAAGGAAAUAGUCACUCUACAACUCUAUAAAAGGAUGUAGGUUCCCCACUUUUUCAAUAUAAAUUUGUGGGUUUCCAAGCCAUGAAUAAUGUUGAGGUAAUUUCUUUUCCUUCUGCUUUUCUUUUAUUUUUUUGUCACCUUUUUCCAUCCCAGCAUGUUAGUGGUAGAAUUUCUUUAUUUCAUUGUAGGAAAAUCAAAAUAAUGAACCGUUUGAUAUUCCUGAAACUAAAAUUCAAGAUCUUUAACAUAUAAAAAAUUUAGAUUUAAAAUACUUUAAUAUAAUUCUCUAUAAUUUUUUGAAGUUAGAUCUAAAUUUUAUCAUAAUGAAAAUUUCAUAUUUGUGCGUCUUUGCCAAAACUUUCAUAUAUUGAAGUAGGAAAGACGAAAUCACAAUCGCUUGAUUCUUGUAAAACAAGACACAAAGAUAUAAUAUAUAUAUAUANNNNNNNNNNNNNNNNNNNNNNNNNNNNNNNNNNNNNNNNNNNNNNNNNNNUAUAUAUAUAUAUUUCAUAAUUUAAUACCUCUGAGAUCUUUUCAGGUACUAUCCUACAAUCAGAAAUGGAUUUUGAUGCACAAACAACUUCAGAUUUGUGCGGUGACACCAGAAAAUUUAAACGUUAAUAUGGGAGUAUCGAAAUCAUGAUCCACUUGAUUAUAUAGAUGCCAGAAAUAAGAAUACAUAACAUAUCCAAGAUUUGAAAUUUAUGAUCUUCAAAAUUUUUCUACAUAAUUUUUGAAGUUGAUCCUAAAUUAUGUUCAAUAGAGAAUUUUAGAUUUGCAUUGCCUCACAAAAUAACUUACAUCUUGAUGCAGAAAUGUCACCAUCAAAGGGUAAUUUGAUUAUUGCAAACCAAAUUUUGAGGAUUUUUUCUCACCAUAAUAUUUUGUCUCAAUCCAAAUUGGUGAUUUAUGACUUUCAAGUUUGAAACAUCUAGUCAGGUUCCAAUCUCUCUCCUACUUGUAUUUUCUUUGUAUUGUCUCUUUUUUUCUUGUAGAAUCAAAGCCAAUAACAAUGUGAAACAAUCGGCUUAAGGUGAAAGAGUUUAGCUUUGCCUCCAUCAUCUUAAGACCUGAUCAAUUUUACUUCAAGAUGCUGGCUAUGCAAGAAUUGGCUUAGGGUCCGAGAGUUUAACUUCGCCUCCGUCACCUUAAGACCAGACCAUUUUGCUUCAAAAUGGUGGCUAUGCAACAAUCAUCUUAAGGUGCAAGAGUUUAACUUGGCCUUUGUCACCUUAAGACCUGACAAAUUUUAAUUCAAGAUGGUGGCUAUGCAACAAUUGACUUAGGGUGCGAGAGUUUAACUUUGCCUCCGUCACCUUAAUACCCGACCAAUUUUGCUUCAAGAUGGUGGCUAUUCAAUAAUAAGCUUAGGGUAUGAGAGUUUAACUUCGCCUCCGUCACCUUAAGACCCGACCAAUUUUACUUCAAGAUGGUGGUUAUUCAACAAUCAGCUUAGGGUGCGAGAGUUUAGCUUCACUUCUAUCACCUUAAGACCCGACCAAUUUUUCUUCAAGAUGGUGGCUAUUCAACAGUCAACUUAGGGUGUGAGAGAUUAAAUUCGCCUCCGUCACCUUAAGACCGGACCAAUUUUACUUCAAAAUGGUGGCUAUACAUAACAAAUUUGUUCAAAUGUCAGCUUAAGGUGCAAAUGGACAAAUCUUGUCCACCUUAAUGCAUAAAAAUUUUGAGAUCCUUUUAUGGAUAAACUCGUGAGAGGCCAGCUCAAGGUGCGAAGGGACACAUUUUGUCCACCUUAAGGCAUGGAAAUUUUGAGAUCCUUUUAGGAUAAACUCGUGAGAGGCCAGCUUAAGGUGCAAAGGGACAAAUUUUGUCUAGCUUAAGGCAUAAAAAUUUUGAGAUCCUCUUAAGGAUAAACUCAUGAGAGGCUAGCUUAAGGUGCAAAGCAAAAAAUUUUAUCCACCUUAAGGCAUAAAAUUUUUAGAUCCUUUUAAGGAUAAACCCAUGAGAGGCCAGCUUAAGAUGCAAAGGGACAAAUUUGGUCCACCUUAAGGCAUGAAAAUUUGAGAUAAUUUUAAGGAUAAACCCGUGAGAGGCCAUCUUAAGGUGCAAACAGACAAAUUUUGUCCACCUUAAGGCAUAAAAAAUUUUGAGAUCCUUUUAAGGAUAAACUCGUGAGAGGCCAGGUUAAGGUGCAAAGCUACAAAUUUUUUUCACCUUAAGGCAUGAAAAUUUUGAGAUCCUUAUAAGGGUAAUAUCGUAAGAGGCUAGCUUAAAAGGACAAAUUUUGUCCAUAUUAAAGCAUGAAAAUUUAGGAGGCCUCGAUUUGAAGACUUGGAGAUUUUGUCAACUACCACUUGCAAACUUGGCGAUUUGGGCGACUCAACUUUCAAAUUUAGUGAAUUUGGCAACUUCAGCUUGCAAGCUUGAUAAAAUUUUCUUACUUUAAACUAUAUACUUGGUGGAUUUGUGGUGCCUCGAGAGACGAGAUAACGAGUGUCUAGUUUCCAGGGGCAGUUGUAUAUUAUGUUAAACUUAUGGUUAUUUUAUUCAUUUCAUGUUUGUUGAGUUAUUUAUAUUUGGAAAUGAAAAAAUAGAUUUGAAAAAAAAAUAUUUUUCUAGAAAAAUAAUCAAUUUUAAAUGCCCAAUCAUGACAAAGAAGGUUCACUACUUUAAUCUUCAAAACCAAAAGAAUAAUCUGAAAUAACCGAACCGAAUUUGUAGAAAGCGAAGCAAAUCAAAUUUGUUUCAACUUGGUUAUGGUUGUCAUUUUUGUCAAUCUGAAAACUGAAAAACCGAAUCGAUAUUAAACAACCAAACUAAACUGAAUCCCGACCCCUAAUUUAUAGGGCCAAUUUUUAUGCCAUUAACAACGAUAAUCUUGUAAGCACCUUAUGAAUAUACUUCUUGUAUGACAUAUGGUUCAUCCCAUUUUGGGGUGAAUUUUGCCCUAGACUUAUGAGAAGUGAUAGUAAGUCUCCUUACUGCAAGGACUUGAUCUCCAACUUGGAAGCACCUCAAGCAAAAUUUUUUUUGAAAGAAUAAGAUAGACAGGCUUGGUAAUAUUUAAGAUUUUGUUUAGCCUCUAGUCUCUUCUCAUCAAGAGUUUUUAACUCUGCAAGAUGCAACUUAGCAUUUUCUUUAUCUGUGAGCCCUUUUAAAUAUCCAGUCUUAAAGAAGGUAUUUGAUGCUCAAGUAGCAGGACUGCUUCAACUCCAAAAGCAAGCGAGUAUGAGGUUACCUAUGUCGGUGUGUGAUUAGUUGUCCUAUAUCCCUAUAAAGCUUCUUCUAUUCGCUCAUACCAGUCUCGUUUGGACUUAGAGAUGACUUUCUUCAAUAGAUUUAAAAAUUCUUAUUGAAUGCUUUAGCUAGGACAUUGGCGGCGGCAUAGUACAUAGAAGACUUAAACUGCUUGAAACCAAAAAGAUCACAAAUCUUAUUCAUCAGCUUGUUAUUAAAUGGCUUGUUGUUAUCGGUUGUUAUGUACAGUGGGAUUCCAAAGCGGUAGAUGAUAUUCACUUAGUUUGCAAUAUUUUCUUUCCUUACUUCCUUGAGAGCAAUAACUUCGACCCAUUUUGAGUAGUAGUCUGUCGCGGCUAAGAUGUACAAGUGUCUACCAUAAGAUUUUGGUAGUGGCCCAACAACAUCCAGUCCCCAAGCAUUAAAUGGCCAAGAUACUAUAGUUAGAUGUAAUACUUCAAGAGGUUGAUGUAUGAAAUUUUCAUGGAAUUAACAAGCUUUGCACCUUCUAGCAUAAUCCAAGCAAUCUUUUACCAUUAUUGGCCAAUAAUAUCCUAUCCUUUAAAUGUGAAAAUGGGGCUUCGAUCCAGAUUGGUGAGAUCCACAAACUCUCGAGUGUGAUUCUUACAAAUCUUGAAUUGAUUCUUCCUCUCCCAAACAUCAUAAAAGUACUCCUUUCUGUACAAAUCUUGAAUUGAUAUUCUGUACAGUGUAUCUUUCUAGUAAAGAAAGUGAUAUACACGACGACGGAUGACAGUUCUUCUUCUUGGUUCCUCUAGAGGAAUACGAUAACACAAGUAGUCAAUGAUAGGCUAUCACCAAUCUUCCUUUACAACUUCAGACAUGACGCUGAGGUGCUCAACCUUAUUUUCUACAUCUUUAUCCUCACUCAGCGGCGGUACUACCCAUUCUUGGUGAAUAGUAACUUAUGUCUAAUUUGGAAUAGUUUGGAUUGAAGCCAAGGCAGCUAAGUCAUCAGCUUACUUAUUUUCUUUUCUUAGUAGGUUUUGGAGGGUCACUUCUCCAAGUCAUCCUAUUAAAUUUUGAGCAUAAUUAUGAUAUGGGCGUAGCAUAGGCUUUCUGACUUCAUAGCUUCCCAAUAGCUGCUUGAUUACCAAUUGAGAGUCACAAAAGACUUUUAAUUGUAGUUGUUUUAUGUCAACUGCCAUCUCAAGGCUGAGCAUUAAUGCUUGAUAUUUAGCAACAUUAUUAGAGCAAUGGUUUGCCAAGGUAAAAGAGUAUGAGAUGACCUUUCCUUGUGGAGUGACAAACACCAUAUACCAGAACCAACUCCAUAUUAAUGUGCGGCACCAUCAAAGUACAUCUUCUAUGGGGGUCUAGAUUCAAUAACCAUUGCAUCUUUAUCAGGAAGUUCAUCAAACAAUUCCCAAUCAUCGGGUAUCGGGUGGUCUGCCAAGAAGUCUGCCAAUAUUUGUCCUUUUAUAGCCUUUUAGGGAUGUACAUGAUCUCAAACUGUUGGAAUUGAAGGUACCAUCUUGCAAGUCGGUCACUAAGGAGUGGUUAUGAUAUUACAAACUUAAUGGGAUUUACCCUACACAUACAAGAUGGACAACAUGAGCUUGAAAUUAGUGCUUUAUCUUUUAGAUUAAGAAGGCCAAUGCCAAAUACAACUUUUCAAUUGGAGAAUAAUUCAGCUCAUUUGGUGUUAUCAUUAUGCUCAGAUAGUAAAGAGAGUUUUCUUUUCCUUUACUAUUUCUUUGUGCCAAUAGUGCUCCAACUGACCAUUCUUAUGCCACGAUAUAGAGUAUCAAAGGUUUUCUAGGUAUGGGCGCCACAAGGACUGUAGGUUUCAUUAAGUAUGAUUUGAUACUUUAAAAGGCCUUACUACAUGCUUGGUCCCAUUCGAAAGGAGCAUCCUUCUAAAGUUAUGGAAAAUUAACUAUAUAAACUUAUUAGAUUAGUUAUUACAAGUUAUAGCAAAACUUUUAAGUUGUCAAGUUAUAGCAACUUUCAUUUUAAAAAAUAUAUAUAAAAAAAUCUUUUUUGUUUUUUUGAAAAUACAAAAAAGUAAUUAAUGAAAAAGGAAAAUUAAGAUUUAAUACAAUUAACAUACAAUUUACCUUACUUAAAUAUAGUUAAACUUAAUUACUGAUCUUUAUCCACCCCCAAAUCCCUCUAACCGUUGUUUUUUCUCCUAUUUUAAUGCUUGCAUUAAGAGUUUCUAUCCUCAUACACUACCUUCCUCUUUGUACACGAUUAAUUUCUGUCAGUAAAUAAAAAUAUCAUAAUUUCGGCGUCAACAAAUUGCUGAGGAUUAUAAUUUGAAAGAAAAGAAAAAAUAAUUAUUUCUUUUGAUAACAAAUAUGAAUUUUGUUAAUUUGUAUUCAAUCAUGAUACGUCAUGGAGGGAGAUGGAAUUCGUCAAGUUUGUUAAUUUUUUUUAUGAAAAUGGAUAUUUUUCAUUCAAAGCGAAUUUAAAGAUUUAUUUUUUUGUAUUUCUUCAAUUCUCUAUUUUUCUGUGUUUCUUCAAUUCUCUAUUGUUACAUUCUCGAACUAAAAGGUCAAGCGCAAGCAGGUAAAAACGAUUGUGUAUUUUUAGUGUAUUUAAUUGGAUAUUAUAUUUGCAUGUAAAUUGGGUAUUUAUUUUUGAGUAUUAAUUUUUUUUUUUUUAAUUUAACAGUUACUAUUUGAUUUGUGUGGUGGGGGACUAUACUUUGUUUCUUCGUUCUUCAAGAAUUAACAAACCAAAGAUUUUUAAGAUAAGAAAGUAUUGUGACAUUCAUACAUGCUCAAUAAAAAAAUUUCAAGUCUUUUUUAUGAAAAGAAAUGGGGUGUUUUACACGGAUACGUUGUCUUCCCUGUAUGUUGCCUUCCCUGUGAUGCUCAAAAUUUUCACAAGGAGAUAAUAUUAUUUAGCAACUUAGUAUGCCCUCAGUGAAAAAAAUAUAAAAAAUUAAAAGGAUAAAUUUUGGAUAGACCUUUUAUUUAGAGAAAAAAAGGUUCAAGUUUCUUAGCAUGAUCUUUGAAUAUCAUGUUUCAUAUCUUAAUGCUUUUGUUAUUCAACUCCAGGUAUUAUGUAAAGAUGACAUUGAAACUUUAGAUUUGUGCAAGAACAUGAUGAAACAAGGUGAAUGGCCACAACUUAUGAUUGUUUUUUAUCCCAAAGAGGGGUAUGUACUUGAACAACCGUUGAAUUUUACUGUGUAUGAUUAAUAUGGGAUGCUUCAUUUGUCGAUUUGCUUUUCAUUUUUCAGAUUUACUGUUGAAGCAGAUGUGUUCAUAAGGGACUGGACAAUAAUUACAGAGUAUGUUAGAGAUGCUGAUUACUUGAAUAACCGUGAAGCUAAUGAUGGAGAUAGCACGAUGACUCUUUUAAGUACUAAUGAUACAUUAAAGGACUUCGUCAUUUGUCCUGAUAAGCGCAGUAAUAUUGCUCGUUUCAUCAAUAACAAGCAUUUGAAAUUCGGCAAUACAUGGUAUUUGCACAAAUAUCAAUAACAUGCUACCAAUAACAAACGAUGCUCAAUGAAUAAAGACAAUGAAACAAAGUCUUGAAAGAUUAAUCGGACUAUUUUGUUGUAUAAUUUUAGGCUUUUUCUACUAGGGGUAUAACCAAACUUAAUUUUUUUGGACAUUAUCUGAAGAAAACAAAAAAACAAAAGUUUAAGAUAUUAAACCAAGGUUAAGGGUGAAUGAAUGUUGGAAACCAAUAGUCAUACUCAAAAGAAGGAAACAUAAGUUGAAAAGAGUGAAUAAUAAUGAGAUAAAGACUUUUAUUGAUAGUUGGUAAAAAUUUAAAGAUCUUGCGUAUGUUUUGGACAAAGAGCUACUGUAAAAUGUGAUGCUCUGUAGAAAAGGGUAAAAAGGAAGGAAAAAAGAAGUUAAAAAAGAUAAAGAUAUAAGACUUCUAUUGGUAAUUAAAGACAGUAAAAUAUGAAAAAGUGUAUAAUCAAAUUAAUUAUUCAAUUUAAUAAAAGUAUGAAAUUAGUUCUUAACUUUACAAAAUAUAUUUACCAUAUAUAACUCCUUAAAUUGUGAACAAAUUUGAUAUUUAAUUAUUAAAAAAAUAUUAAUACCUUAACUUGCCAUAAUUAUCCAAGAUCUUUGAUUAAGAUUGAUAAAUGUUAAAUAUAAGAAAAUAAUACAAAUAAUAAAUAUUAAAAAAAAAUCAAAAAUUUAAUUAAAAUAUUUUUUUUGCAAAAGUUGUUAUAUCUUGUAAUUAUUUCUUAAAUCUAGUAAUUAAUGAAAUGUUAUGCUAUAACUUGUAAUUUACAAUCUAAAAAGUAUAUUUGAGAUAAUUUUCACUGUUUAUUAUUUAUUAUUAUUUUAUUUAUUAUUAUUUGUUAUUUAUUAUUUCAUAUUAUUAUUUAUUAUUUAAUUAUUAUCAUCAUAUAUUAUUAUCCCUACUUUAAUUUAAAUGACAGCCUAAAUUAAAAUUACCGUGCACAAUUUAUUUACCUUUUAGUCCAAUAGUGUUCAAAUUCCUUAUAAUUAUAGCCUUUCUACUCAAUCCAAUACAAUUUUAACCCAAUUCCUUGCAAUCCUAGUCAUUCUACCCAUUUCCUUGCAAUCCUAGUCAGUCUAAAUCUACAUAGUCUUAAAAUUCCAGUCGUUCAUCGAAAUUGAUCGGCUGAGAUUUGAUCUACACCUUCCUUUCCUUUUUAAUCCAAUAACCCCAAAACCCUAAUCUCAUUACCAUUUUUUCAUCCUCCUCCAAAAUCCUCUCUCUCCNNNNNNNNNNNNNNNNNNNNNNNNNNNNNNNNNNNNNNNCCCCCCCGCUCUCUCUAAACCUUUCUCUGCAAAAAGAAAGGAGAAGCGGCGCCGCCUCUCCAUCCCUCCACGCCGGCAGCUAUGCCAUCACCACCUUGGACCCUCCGCUCCGAUCUUCCCAUCUCUUUUCUCCUCUCCCCUCCGGCGACCAACCCAAACGGUCCACGCGCCUCUCCUCCACCCGCAAUGGCCGGCGAUACAGCUGCUUCAGCCCGUUCUCCGACCAGACAACGCCGUCAACACACCUCUCCCGUCGCGUUCCGCCAUCUCCGGAGAGAAUCCAGCCAGCACGCCAGCACCGCUCCAACCCCGCCACCGCGACAACAGCCGCUCCAGCGCCGUCACCCUUCUCCUCCAACCCACUCAGAUCCGGCCUCCACCUUCAACAGUCGAGAAACAUCAACGACGACGAACCAGCUACGCGCCACCCCCAGAUUCAACUAUUAUUUGGUUUGAUCUCCCUAAACUCAAAUUGCAUGUUUGUUUGUUAAAUUAAUUUUUCGUGACAUGUAACUUUGGAUUGUGAUUAAAUUCAUGUAAUUAUUUGUUCAUGUUCAUCUCUGGGUCUGUCAUGUGUGAAAAUGCCUAAUUUCUAUGAGUUAACCUUGAAUUUCUUUAAGCACUUGGACUGAUUUCUUUGCUUGAUGGGUUAUCUCCAUCCGUUAACCUUGACAAAAUUUGUGGCUUGAUUAUAUGUUAUCCGAUUCUCUGCCUCUAAUCGGUGCAUGCUGGACUCGUAAUUACUGUAUACUUGUGUGUUUUGAUGUGAAAAGUUGGUGGGUAUGUCAUUUUGUGUUCUCCCUUUGAUGAUAAAGUUGACAGCAUGUUUUAUAACGUAUGGUAGUAGGAAAUUCAAUCAUGUUAUGACGGAAAUAAGCACCUAUUUGUCCUUUGGUUAUUGUUUGAAUAUUCGAAUAGAUUUUGUUUAUGGUAGCUAACCUGUUUAAUUCCUUGAUUACUUCUAAUUGAUUAUCUCUAAUUGAUUUAUGGUAAAUGGGUGGACAUAUUUUAUUAUUAUUUUAGAAAAUAUUCUUAUUGAGGCAUUUAUGGUAAAUUUGACCUUUUUACAUCCCUGAUUGAUUCCUGACAUGUUCCUUUCCUUCUUGAAAUUGAUUUUGUGUAUCCUUUCUUCCCUUUAUUGUUUGGAAUGAAUUUUUCAUGAUUGCUUAAUAAUAUUUGAAUAUCAAUUUAUGAUAGAUGAUAGUUGUAAUUAUGGAAGGCCUUUUUUUUUUUACCUUAUUGAAUUUUGUGGUUAACUGAUUUUGAGGUGAAAAAUAUUAUUGAUUGACUACAUAAAUAUUUUCCCUUCCUUUUGAAUAAAAUUGAAUUGAUUCAAUUACUGAUAGUCAGUAAAAUGAUUUUAGAAAAACUCUUUUUUCUUUCCUUUUACUUUUCGAAAAGGGUCCAUACCUUUAGCAUAUAUAAAUAACCCUUUUUAUCAUUAAUGGACAAUGAAAACACGGCUCAACUUCUGAACUUCUCAAACUUCCUAAGUUCACAAUUACUCUGUGAGAACAAAAAGACUACUAGCUAUUUGAAUACAAGGCAAUUCCUUUGUUGUUUUAAGAGUCUUUGAUUCUUCGGGGAGGCUCGUUGGGAACAUCCUGCUUUAUUUCGCUGUUACAACUGCUUGGGUUUCUUAUACUUAAUUCUCUCCUCUUACUGCUGCAUACUGGUAAGUGUCUAGAACGAUGUUAUUAAUUAUUUAUUGAGUGCCUAGUGUGUUAGAAUGUAUGUUCUUAGGGACUUCUCCGCCUUGUGUUUGACAUGUCACUUAUAUGUAGAAGCAUGCUGUAGUGUCUCCGCCUUGUGUUUGACAUGUCACUUAUAUGUAGAAGCAUGCUGUAGUGUCUUGUUUGUCUUUGCCUUUGCCACAUUGUUGCUCUACAGGUUGAAAAUUCCGAAGAGUCGCCGGGGUCUUUAAACGGACUAUGUAUUCUUUAGACAGUUAUUUUUCUUCUAAUGUAUUCCGGUUUGUAAUAUUAUUGUAAAGACACUAUUGUUAUUGAUGUAAUAUUAAUUUGGGGACUGCUUUGGGAGGCGGAGAUUUACGUGCUCUAUGAAUGGCGUAGAUAGGCACAACUUAGGUUUUACGUGCAUUUCAUGCUACAUAGGUCACCUAGGCACACAAAUUUAGGAUUAUGCGAUAUUUAGUUCAUUUAUUAAUUAAUUUGAUUCCAUUUGUCAUAUUAAGUAUUAGGCUAAAAUAAUGUUAUUGUGUCAUUGUGUGUCUAGCAUGUUAACGUAAAUUGAGCAUGAUAAAGUAAUUUUUGGCAUAUUAACUUUUAAAAGGAUCCAUGUUUCCUUUAGCAAUUAUACAAUUCUAUACUUUGUCAUGACUUCUUAGUUUGAAGAAAUAAUUUUUUCACAUGUAUUCAGCGCAUAAAAUAUUUCUAUCAUAUUACCAGGACUAUACAUUUAGCGUGUUAUAAUUAGACAACAAAUUAAUUUCAGCGCUUAGAUUGAAUUUCAGCAUGUUUAAAAUGCUAGUUCCUUACAUUUAUAGCAUGUUAAAAUAUUAGAUUUUUGGCAUUUUUGACAUGUUUUCAGCAUGUCAACAUUAAAAUACUGUGCCUUAAUGUUAUUUUUAGCAUGUUUAAGUAACUCUUCAGCAUAAUUAAUUAACUUUCGAGCAUGUUUAAAUCAUGUUACUGUAUAUCUACACAAUUUUAGCAUGUUAUUAUCAUUAGAACAUUAAAUUUUUGUGCAUCUUAGUACGAUUGACACACUUCUAGCAUAUCACUAUGAAAUUCCUGCAAUAGUACAACUUCUGGUUUAUUAAAAUACAUAUUUUGAGCAUUUUACGAUAUGUUUAAACACUAGAGUAGAUAUAUUAUGGCAUCCUUAACAUGUUAAUGCCUUUUAAUAUUUUUAUUGAUUUCUUAUGUUCUCAUUUAUAUUUUACAACACUUAAUUCACAAGCACAUUUUUUGUUCGACACAUUUACCAUACUUUUGACACCUCUCAUUGACACACAAUGAUGUUACAUUCACGAAUCAUAGUCGUCCUUUAUCACUACUUGUUGAACAUUUAGAUAGCAUGUCUAUAGGUUAAUGAUAAUAUAUCGAGUCCUAGGCAGCAUAGUUUUCUUUUAGUCUAGAACAUAAAUUCAAAAUGACAAAGUCAAAUGCCUCUUGGACGAUAGUCGGGAUGUUAAAUAUUACUAAAGAUGUUAGUUUUGUCCUUGUCAUAGAACGUCCUUAGACUUGACAUCCAGCCUAGGUGGGGUGGGAUGGGUAGCCCUUUUCGGAAAUGAUGAUCCCAACAAAUAUUAACGGCGAGGCUAAUGACAUUAUUACUUAUCUAAGAGUUCGGCCUUUGGGUCGGAUGAUGAUUAACAAGUUGGGUUUUUGAUUCGAAUAGAAUCAAAACAUCUCUUUGUUUUAUUCGUACGAUUUCUUUGUCUUUUUAUUUAUUUUACAUGUUUAUUUGGGGUAGCUAGUUUAUUAUAAAGCAGUCCUCUUUUUAUUAUAAAUUAUGUCGUUUCUUUCUCCUCGUUUAUCUUAUUUCUAUAUUUUUAUUUAUUUUAUCACAUAGAUAAUCGACAAUUAGCAUUAACAAAUGAUAUGUGUUUGCUUAUUAAUUAUCUUAUUGCUUAGCUAAAUAGUAAAUUAAAAAUAAAAGAACAGACCUUUAUUUGAUCACAUAGAAUCCCUAUGUAAAGUAUGAAUUUGGCCGGGAACCACCUUUGUGGACCUUGAAAGGUGCCUGAGACCUUCCUUUUGAGGUAAUUUGAACUCUUACUUGAACUCUGGUGAACUAAGACAAAAUGAUAAAAUAGGUUCGUAGUAGCCUAGAUCGGUACCCUAAUGCGCCUUAAUACGUUAGAUGGCGACUCUUCACACCCUUAUCUUAAACGCAUCCCAAGAGUUUGCCAAAUUGAAUCCCACUUUCUGCAAGGAAAGAGGGCCGCAACAAUACCAAGUCUAGUUAUGUCCGAAAUUGGGGUCUUAGGUAUUUGGUUACCUUUGUGGAUGACUUUUCUCUUAUGUCUUUGAUUUACUUUAUGAAAAAUCAUUUGAAGUGUUUUUCCACUUUUGGGCCAAUAUUUUUGAAGCGUUCAGGUAGCAUAUGUUGCAACUAAAUUUAGUACUACUGGUUCGUGUUUACAGAGAGGGUUUUUUUAUAAAAGUGUCUCAUUUUCUUUCAAAAAGCAUUGUUCCACAAUGGUACUAGUAUCUUAUGAAUGUAUAUGUAUGGAAUGAGGAUGUAAUGAUCACAAUCAAUCAAUAUGAAAAUAUCCAUUCCACCCAACACGAAUAUUUAUGUGAGCCCAGAAACCAACUCAAUGUCCCCAAUUUAUGAUUAUCAACUCUAUUUAGGCACCAUCGGAAUAAAUAUGCAUGUAAGACAUCAUUUUUAUCAUAUCAACCCCUACUCAAGUAUUUCUAUCAUGAUAAAGGUAACC
rnacentral:lncRNA from 1 species